rnacentral:lncRNA from 1 species
UUGACUAUUUUUUUAUACACCAAGUUUAGAUUUGACUAUCCAAUAUCCCAACAAAUUUUUUUCAUAAUAUUUUAUAUUUGACAUUUCCAUCGAAAACUGACAAAGAAAUAUCCUCGAUUGAGAUUUCGAUUCAUGUGUACAAUGAAGACAAAGGAAAAAUCGGACAAGAGAAAAUGGAUAAGACAAAUAAACAAAUUGACUUCUAAGUAAUGAGAAACAAGAAAACAAAAAUAAUGAAAAAUAAAAAAGAUGCUCAAUUAACACCUUUUGUAAGCACAACUUAUAUUUACAACUUUUACUUGAAUAGGAUUUGUUUAUGUUGUACUAGUGUGUCCUUGAAUUCUAAAAAUAUAGCAACCCAUGUUCACUAAGGAAAACAAAAACACAUAAAUACAUCAAAAUAUCAGUAAGUUGAGUCACAAUCAAAAAUACAUUUGAAAAAUAGAAACUCUAAGUUGAAGAGAAAGAUCAAUUUCUUUAAGAGAGAAGAAAAAUACCUCACAGUGGCCAUGAGCUGUAGAGUAAUGGCCAUUUUGAUAGGUUUGUUUGAUUAUGGAUAUUGAAGUAGAAUGUAAGUUAAAUUUCAUCAACCCAACAUCAUAAACAAAAAUAUAUCAAUAUAGUAAACAAAAUACCUUUCGUUUAAUGGAUACAUGAAAGAUGACUCCACCCUGUAAAAAAAUGUGUACAGGAAAAAAAUUGCAUGAUAUAAAAAUUGAAUGCAAAAAAUAUAUGGACAAACCAUGGAAAACAAAAGAGAAUUUUCGAACGAGAACCGAUACAACCUAAAGUAAAGUAGUAAGAAAACAACGCAUCAAUUUUUAACAAGAGGCGUUUUGGAUGAAUUCUUAUGAUUUCUACUUUCUUUUUCGGAUUGUUUUUCAUCAUCUGAAUUUAAUUCCUCAUCAAUUGGAAAGCCUCUAAACCCAGAAAAAGGGUCAACAAAAUAUUUAUAUAUAUAUAAAAAAAAAAACUCAUCCCUUCCUGCUCUGCUCCUUCUAUUAGUCAAUCUAGCCACUAGAACAAAUCACCCUAAAUUGGAUUUUGAAAUGAAAUUACCCGAUCUCCAUCAAGGGGGGUUUCACCCUAGCCAAUGCGAAGCUCCAAUGCCUUGACGCCAGCCGAGUUCGAGAGGUCGAAGAAAUCCGAUGGACGGAUUUGGAAGGAGCGACAAUAAGAGAGCAGAGAUGGAGAUGACGAUUGAGAGGAACCAAAAGAGAGAUGGAGAUGAAAAUUGAGAGUGUAGCAGAGAUGGAGAUGGCGAUUGAGAGGAACCAAAAGAGAGAUGGAGAUGAAAAUUGAGAGUGUAGCCGAGAGAGAUGGAGAUGCGAAUUGAAAAGGCAACGACUGAGACGGCGAUUGAGAGUGCAGCGGCUGAGACGACAAGUUCUGCAUCUUCGUGCGUUUUGAUUAAGGGAAGGAACGUGUUUUCAUCCUAGGGUUUUAGAAAAGAGAAAACGGACUUAAUUGAAACGACGUCAUUUUAGUACUAAAUUUCUUGACGUUUUUAAAAACGUCAAGGAUUUUUUUUAUAAAUUUCUUGACAUUUUUCAAAACGUCAAGGAUUUUUUUAUAAAUUUCUUGACGUUUUUAAAACGUCGAGUAAAAUUUUAAAUUCUUGACGUUUAAGAAACAUCAAGCAUGUCGAAUUUAUACGCUUCUUGACGUUUUAAGAACGUCAAAAAAUUAAUAGAUAUUUCUUGAUGUUUUAAAAACGUCAAGAAAAAAAUUAUUUCUUCUUGACGUUUAAUAAACGUCAAGAAUGAUGUUUCAGAAAAAUUCUUGACGUUUUUUUAUUAAAAAUGAAAUCUUUUUUGACGUUUUUUGAAAAAAAUGUCAAGAAAGGAAAACAACAACCGUCAAGAAAGCCCAUUUUUCUAGUAGUGCGAUCUUAAACAACCAAAUAAAAGUUUGAAAAAAUAAUACAGAAAAAUGAGAGAAAAAAACGAUGGAAAGAAAAUAAAAUCACAUAAGAGGGAAGAGAAGAAAGACAAUGAAAAAGAAUCAUGAACUUUUUCAUUUUAUCAUAUGAAAGGUAAAUAUUUUGCCAACUUAUUAUAUUUUUGCCAAUCUUACUAUAUUUAAAAAUAAUUUCAAUUUUUUUUUUUAAACAAUUACUCAAGUCUAUAAUUAAGAAGAGAACAAAAAUGACAUAAAGAAAUUUUUUAAAAAAAAAUAGAAAAGUAGUUUGGGUUUAGGGUUAUAUUUAUAUAUAAAUGUAGAAUUAGUGUUGAGUGCUCAUCCAUCUAAUAUCCUUUAUGGUUACAUUGUGACCACACCAAAAGCAACCCCACAAUUUUAUUUAUUUAUUUUCAUUCUCAACUAUUCUUCUCUCUCUCCAAACACACACACUCUCUCUCUCUCUCUUCUUUUGCCAUUUUUGUUGUGAAAUUUUGCAGGUUAGGUUAUUGUGUGAAGGGAAAAAGGUAAGGUAAGGAUGAUGUUGAGGGUAGUAGUGAACUUGAAAGCAAAAAUAAUGAAGUCAUUGAAGAUGAAGAUGAAGAUGAAAGCAACAAAUUACGAUGCAGAUUAUGAUAAGAUGGAGAAAAGUGAAAGCAUGAGAGUUGAAAUCAGAAGCAGAAAAGCCCAGAAGCUCAUCCAACAGUCCUUGAAAUUUGCUGACUCUCCCUCUUCUAAAACUUAUGCCUUUUGAUUUCUUAUAUAAAUAUCAAUUUUCUUCUCUUAUAUCUCAAUCAAUCCCACCCCCUGCCCUUAAUUUCAUCUAUACCCUUCCCCUCCCUCCCUUCCUUCCUUCAUCACUACAUAAUUAUAUAUGAACAAAAGUAUCUAAUAAUAAAAUAAAAUAACUCACUUUUCCUUAUUCUCUUCUCUUCUUCUUCUUCUUCUUCUUCUUCUCAUCCUCUUUUUCUUUUUUCUAUCGUGGCUGAAACCAUUAAAUUUAUAAUACAUAUUUAUUUCUAUAUAUGAUGAGACUAUGUGUUUUUAUUAUUUUGUUACUUAAAUUAAUGCAAACAAACAUUUAUAGUUGUUUCUUUAUAUUAAUUAACCAUAUGGACAAAAUAUGUGUAUUUUAUUACUCUAUCUAUUUUUCUUAAUUUGAUGAGGGGACAAAUUAGAAAUUAAUGAAAUGUAGUUAAACAUUCUUUCUACCAUUUUUAGUUGGUUAAUUAUAAGAAAAAUUAUGGCCACCACAAUAAAAACAUAGAUUUUCAAAUUGGUUUGUUUUAGAACAAUUUUUUCUUCAAAGGAAGAGAUACUAAGAGAAAAUAUAUGAGAAGAAAAGCAUGAUCUAUCUAAUUAAAUUUGGAACAUAUCAUCUACCUAUUAUUUAAUCAUCUUUUGCAAUCAAUAUAGAUAUUACAUAUACAACUGCUAAGUUUUUUUUUUUUUUCUUUUUUAAAGUUAAAGUUAGGGAAAUGAUAAAUUAAGGAGAUAUAUAUAUAUAUAUAUAUGGUAUGUUAGGAAUGUGUGGUAUAUAAUCAAAAAAGUUUUAUCCAUGAUUUUUGUAUAGGGAAGCAAAAUGAUGUGGAAACAUAUAAAAGAAUAUGGUUGGUAGAAGAAAACUUAUCUCAUCAAAAUUUAAUGGUGUGAUGAAAAUGACAACUUUUAUUUUCUUUUCAGUGGGAUAUUCAAAUCUAUUUAUAUCAUCUUUUGCAUGGCACCCAAAUGAAAGUGCUUCUUCAUUAUUGUAGAGAAGAUAUAAGCUAUACCAUUUGAGCCAAUAGUGUAUAGAACAAAGUGGAUUUUACUUUCUUUUUCAUUAGUCAAACAACUAGCAGCUUGAUUUUCAAAGUGGUGCAAUAUUAUUUUAGUUUAUAUAAUAAUGUAAUGCUUUCAAAUAUUGUUUGCCUUUGUUUAUGUUAAUUAUCAAUUUCAAUUAUCUAACUUAUGCUAUGCCUUCAAUUAAUUUUAAAUUUUCUUCUAAUUCAUUUUACCUUAAUGUUUAUCAAAAUCAACUUAACAAUAAUAGUAAUAUUUUAAAUGAAGUGUUCAUAAAUAUAAUCAACAUUUUAGACCAAGAUUAUUAUUUGAAAUCUUAGAAUGAAUAAUGUGGUUUGAGUGUCGUCAAAAGUUGGUGAGCAUGUAAUUUCAUAGUUUAAAGAGAAAAAUAUGAGUGAACAAGUAUCACGUUUGAAUUAAAGGAAUUUAAUGGACAUGAAAGUUAAAAUGAUUACUAGCUAUAAUCUACUACCAACGAUGUUACGUUUUCAUUUUAGUAAGUCAAUAUCAUAGGAAGGCUAAGAUGAAGUGUGUUUGACACGGAAUAAUCUUAGUUGGACGAAGUGUGUAAAUAUACACAUUGAAAGGACAUUUUGGUGGGUGGAAAAGUGUUCAGUCGUAUAGAGAGAAGACUGUAAAAAGUAAAAAGAAAUGAGAGGACAUUGUGGACUUCUCAAGAAAUUUACCAAGAGAUCUUUAACCACACCAUAGAGAUCAAUCAAAGUUUUAUAACCAUCAAGAAUAAAUUUAGACAAAACUAAAUGGGCAUCAAUGUAACAAUCAACUCAUCACAAUGUAAAAAGAGAUUAUAAAUAUCACAAUCAAGGAAGAUAUAUUUUUCUUGUUUACUUGGUAGGACUAACCAACUUUACUAUUAAAAGAACAAUGUUUCUUUUGUAUACAUGAAAUUAGUUGGCUUUUUAUUGCCCAUGAUGACAUAUGUAUAUACACACACCCUAUCAUAUUUUUAUUUAUUUGAAUUCACUUAUCAUGUGAGUACUGUCAAGAAUUUGUAAAUGUACAUUGUUAAAUGAUUGGGAAAAAAUACAAAGUAAAAACAAACAAAAAUAUAAAUAACAACUAACAAAAGAAUAUCUAUGAAAAAUGGAGUUUUUCUUUGACACUGUUUUAGCUAGAAUUUUUUUGAAAGAAUUGAAUGUUGAAUUUUUGAAGAAAUGUGGUGGAGUUCCAUUAGCUGUUAAGAUGACGAGGAAGGUUCAACUAAAAGACAUCAUGAUAGAGGUAAAAUACAAAGCACGAUUGGAAGAAAAAUAGAUAUAAAAUUCAUGAAAAAGUAAGAAUUAAAAGCUUUGAUUUCUCUUUUGUUUACAUAUGUUAGUGCAAAAAAUGUAGUGCAUUCGCUUGUUGCUCAUUACCAAAAAGAAAGAAGAAAUAAAAAGAAAAAGAAAACAAAUAAUAAAUUUUUAAAAUGUUAGAGACGUGUUGAAAUAGAGUAUUGAAUUUUAAGAUUUAUUGACAAAAUUGGUUAAACGUAAACAUAUAAAAGUACAUAAAAACUGUGAAAGCUUAUGCAAUUUGAGAAGGGAUUCGACUCUAGGAGAAUAGAGAUCGAGGAACGUCAUCUUUUAUAUGAUUCUUAGAUUUAUGGUGCAUAUUGUCACGUUCCGGCGAAAAUGAUUCCAAAAUUUGUGCCAAAAUGAUGUCCAAGGCUCUUUUAACAACCAAGAAGGAGCCCAACUUACCCAUUUGACAAACCAGUGCAGCUAGGACACACGCACAUGACACUAAUGUGUGCCCAUCCAAGGUAGUCAAGCCUCGCACGUACCAAGACAGAUGCUCAUGACAGCCUAAUGUGCGUGUGCAGAUGCCACAGCCCCAUAGGCAAAACUCAGAUGCCAAUGAGCUCAUGGCACCAACACUAAGCACACAGCUCAUGCACACAAGCGUUGUGCAUAUGGACAAGUGGCAGCCCAAGCAUGCACGCAUACAUGUGCAUGCCCCAGACGGUCACCCUUGCUCGCAAACGCAUGGCGUGUGCGCCCCACACUAGCCUGCAACAUGUGCACUGCAUCGUGCAAACUCGCAGUUCGGUUUGAUUUGAUUUAAAGCUGAAACUACGCCUAAUCGCAAAAUGCAAAAGAAAUCUCAUCUGAAAUCGAACCAAAUCGCUCAUCUGGGUCAAAUUGAAUUAAAAUUGAAUCGCAUAUGCAAUUCAAUUUUGAUUCGAUUUUAAAUUAUCUUAUACCAUUGGCAUAUGUGCCUACAACCUCCUACACUAUCGUUUAUCAUUCUAUACAAUCGUUCAACCUCUUACACUUACACGAUCCUUUAGCUUUCUAUACAACCGUUCAACCUCUUACACAAUCAUUUAGCUUUCUAUACGAUUGUUUACCCUCUUACACAAUCAUUUAACUUUCAAACGAACAAUCGUAAUUAUUUGCCCUUUUACACGAUCAUUUAGCUUUCUUACACAAUCAUUUAGCAUUCUAUACGAUCUUUUAGCUUUCAAACGAUGAUUCAACUUUCUAUACGAUCAUUUACCCUUUUACAGUUUCGUUCGAUUUUAGAAUCGGUUUAAUGUCUUAAACCGAACCAACCACAUAAGAAUCGAUUUCAAUUUAAAUGAAACUGCAUGCAUUCGGUUUCAAUUAUGUUUUGGUUUGGUUGUGGUUCGGUUUGCGAUUCGAUUCAGUUUUCAACUAUUUUUUGAACAUCCAUAGAGUAUACACGCAACACACAACCCUUAUGCAAGCCUCAGACUUGACAUACGUGCCACACUACACAUACUCGCAACGCUUGCCCCUCAUAUGUGUCGCCCCGCACGGCACCAUGCGCCCAACCUAGAGCACCCACGCCUUAGGCGUGCGCCCCUCAUGCAAGCCACAUCGCGCAUACUCAUAGCGGAUGCCCUUCAUGCACUCCUUAGACUUGGCAUGUGUGUCACCUUGCACAUACACACAACUCAGCACUCAGCCCAACGCACCCAAACCUCAGGUGCGCGCAAUACCUUGUGCGUGCGCCCAUGUUCCAAAUACCCCUAAAAGCAUCUACAAACCUCUUGAAGCUUCCAAAAGGGGUUAAACACGUUCAUGGUCGUGUUGCAUCACCCACCCAAGGCCUAGACAACCCUAGAAGGCUUGAAAUGGUGCCAGAGCAUUCUAAAAGUGUCUAGAUCACCUAAGAAGGCCUUGAAACAUACUGGAGGAUGCUAGGGAAUGUUGAAAUAUUUCAUGACCGUACUUUUAAUAAAAUCAUGGUGGAAUGUACAAGAAAGAUCUAGAGAAGUCUAUGGCCGACCUUCUAAGGCCCUAAGGUCAGUUGUCAUGUCUAUAUAUAUUUCAAAGGCGGCUCAUUUGUACAACUCUAAGAACUCACUUGGUUGUAAUUCAAACAACUCCAAGAAGAGUUAACCCAAGCUCUUUCAUUCUCUCAAACCUCUUUUGCCUACACCACAAUUUUUCUAUUGUCAUACUCAUCACAAGUGCUUUGUACUCUAACCUUUAAAUGCUUACUUGGCUUCUUUGACAUCAAGAUUGUCCAAGAGCCGCACGUUUAGGUAGUUGAAAACUCUAACCACGUGACAAUAUGCUAUAUAACUAGCUUGAUGAUUUCUGUAAAGUGGAUUCAAUUGUUAGACAUAUAGAAUUUAGACAUACAUUUUGUGAUUAAAAUAAAAUUGAACAAAUAGAUGGAAAGACCAAUUUUGUAAUUUUAUUAAGGUAAAAUUAAAUCGAUAAUAAAAUUAUUGUACUUAAAAAAAAUUUCCAUCACAAGUUCUAUAUAUCAUCAUGAAAUAUUACAUCUUCUUACACAAAACUUAACCCAAAAAAAUUAAAAACAAUAAAUAUUAUGUAGAAAAACACUUUUUUUUUUUUACGUUCACAUAUUUAAUUAAUUUGUAACUAACAAAGUUAGGUUCAUUUGAUCAUGUUUAAGCACUUUGCCUUUAGUUAAUUAUAAUAAUAAAGUUCUGUAUUUCUCAUGAAAAGAGAAUAAUAAGGUUGAUGACUGGAUAUUGUUUGGACAUGAUUGUGCAUAUUUGGUGGAUGUCAUCUUUAUAACUUUUAAACAGCCUUUACUUUCAUUAAUUAAGAUUUCUCCCAAAAAGAAAAUCCACCUUUACUUUUAUGCUCUCAGUCCUUCCCCAUUCCUUUUCUUUUUUUUUUGUGGAAUUCAUCAAAGUUUUACAUUUAAACUAUUCUUUGAAAUCCCCUUUUUGUUGCUUUUCUGUUCAUUAGAUAUUCUAUUUUAAUAGGCAACAAGAUUCAUCCGUACUCAAACAUUGUUACACGAUAAAAUAAUUGACAGUCUUCACAAAUCUAUGUUAGCAUUUCUCUGAUAAAAAAGACAAUAAACAGCCAAAAUGUUACAACAAUACAAUCAUUCUGAAUAGUAAAUUGGUUCUUUGAAAAUUUACAGAUUCUAUUUCUUAAGAAUGUUUCACCAUCCAGUAGAAGGAUUGAUCUUGGUUCUUAAACUUCAACGCAUUAAUACAUUUAUGUUAUGUUUGAUAUAUAUUUUUAAGUGUUUAAUUUUAAUAAGUCAUUUUGAAUAAAUUUGGAGUGUUUAACAUUCAAAAUAACUUUUGAAACGUACUUUAAACAAUUUUGAAUUGAAAUGAUUUUUUUUUUAAAAAAAAAAACACUUUCUUCCCUGGACAAUCCAAAAGAUCCUUUGGAUCCACAUGAACAGUAUUACUUUGAAUAAGAACAAAAUUAAUUGUUUAAGAGAAAAAAUUCUAAAAAAAUAGGCAUCUUAAGAACAAAUGCAUUAAUCAAGAAAUAAGUUGGAAAUAUUUCACAUGAACAGCUAGAAAAAAGUGUCAAUUAUUUCAACAUACUAAUAAUCUGCUUUAUGCACGUAAUGAUUUCCAAAAAGAUGUACGGAUGGCUUUUCUUUUCUUUUCCUCCUUCCUAAUAUCUUCUUUCGGUUAAAUGCAGAAGAAAUCAAACAAGACAUUCAAAAACAACAUCAUAACAAGCCAAACAAAUUGAAACUUUUCAAAAUAAUUACAAUAUUCAGUGUUGAGCACAACCUUAGCAUUGAAGGAUUUGUGGGAGGCAGGUUGGCUUUUAUUUGCUUCAAAAUCUUCAGCCAACUUCAAAUUUUUUUUUGUAAAGGCAUUGUAAUAAAUGCUGGAGUGGGAAUUUGAAUUUGAAACCUCUUGUCCACAGGAACAUAUAGGUGUCAGUUGAGCUAAACUCAUGUUGGCCACCCAACUUCAAUUUCUCUAUGAAAUCACCUAAAACAAAAUCACUAUCAAUCAUUGUAAAGCUUCAACAUAGGAUUUUAUAAACUAUCUUUCUAAUGGGGUAUUCUGCAGUUAAGUAGACUCUUGGACAAGUCCCAGCCUACGUGUUUGGCUUCUAAUACAAGGAGAAUGGUAGCAGUACGUUUUUGCACAGCACAUGAAUUUUAAGUCAAUGCUUCUCAGAAUAAUGUCCUGAUUACAUUAUUAGGUUUGCACAACAUUUUGUGUGUAUAACUCUAUGUGUUUCUUAUUUUAAUUAAUUCUUUUAAAAACUCUAUUCAUCUACUUUCUAUUUUAGACUUUUAAAACACCUCAAUUUUAGUUGAAACUUUCUUUUCGUUACACAUGUGAUCCAAACACAAAAGUACUGAAGUAGAUAAUUAUUUAUUUUAAAACAAUUAAAAAAUAAGAUAAAAAUGACUUAAAUAAUGGUAAAGUUUGUCAGAGUAUUAGUAUGCCAUAUUCGUUCAUAAAAGAAAAAUGUUUUCUUAUACCCUAAGUAUUGGUAUUGGGACCCAUCAUCACUAAUCCUAGAGAACCUUUCGGCGGUCCCAAGGUCCAAAUGAGAGCAUUAAGAGGUUUUUUCUCAUUAAGCUCACUCAAAGGUUUAAACAUGUGGCUUUUGACAAGAUAUUACCAAGAAACAGUGUGUCUUUGCCGACGGGGUCACCCCGUUGGGACCAAAAAUACAAUGAAAAUAGAAAAAUAUAUAAAUGAAUCACAUCAUAGAAAAGGUAGGAUAUAUUUAUUAGGGUGGGCACAAUUUUUCAUUUACUUUUAGAAAAAUAAAUGCAACCAAGUAUGAAAUUAAUGGAAGUAAGAAAGCAAAAUGUCAAAGGACCAAAAUAAAAGGGUUAAGAAAUCAAAAAACGUCUAAAGGUUUUUUCUUAAAAAAAAAAAAAGUUAACAAGGUACAAAUUGGAUCUUGAUAAGUUGCUCGCUAUUUGUUUGUGCUCAUAACAGCGUGAUAGAACUCGGAUUAUCUAUUCACUAUUUAAGCCAAAAUGCCAAGGAAGUCGAGGCUCCCUCCUUUCAACAUGCUCACAGGGCUACACUUCACAGAAUGCAAAAAGAUAAUUAAAAGACUUACCCAGAGGCAAUCUAAAUAGCCCAAUCCUAACUAACCCUAUAUCCCUGUAGAGCCCACUGUAACUUCUUUUACUCCAUAACUAACCGUUUUCCCUUUAACAAUUAUUUACAGUUAUCUCCCUUCCUCUCUUUUUUCUCAUACACCUCCUAAGGAUCGAGGGUCUAUCACAAUGCUAGUCUUUAAUCCAAUUUCUCAAAAGCAAAAUCCACCAAUACCCAACUCAGAUGAAUUUCGAAAAGUAUACGGAACAAUAUGACAAUCAAAAGUGGGGGCAAGUUACCUGAUCUAACAAGAUGACAAAUUAAUGGCUUCGAUGGUACAGUGUCUGCAGAUCCUUGCAGUGAAUACAAGUCCAUGGUAACAACGGUGGGUCCAGACAAUAUGAAUGAAUUUGUCGAAUUUGACAAAGAUGGCAGCUCAUGAGGAGGUCCUCUGGUUCCCGACAACGGCAUGCACUACAAACAGCUGCUACUGAGGGCUGUUAAUUAUAACUAUCGAGAAUUAGUUGUCUGUUCAGAUGGACCAUUUUAACCAUAGUAAAUAAGAAUGUCACCAGAAAAAUCAUUGAGUAUUAGCAGAGAAGAGCUACAAAUGGAAUUCUUGAAAAUGAGUACUAGCUUUGCAUCAACACCCCCCCCCCCCCCCCCCCCCCCCCCCCACACACACACACACACACCCGAACAACAAAGCAACGACAUUGAGCAUUAUAAUAUGACCUGAACAACGUUGUUAAGAGUUCUUUCAUCAGAUAGAAGGUAAAUAUCCAAUAAUGAUGAUCCACAUGGAAUGGUUUGGGAGUAUAUCUUCUGAUCCGAGGUGGCCGCAUAUUCAACCUUUGUGAUGCUCAGAAAACUGGCUUUGCACAAAGGGCACGUUGAGAUUUUUCUGCUCAAAGCCUACAAGAUACGAGACCAAUAGAUUAGGACCUUGAAACAGAUUCUGAACUUCAGAGUACAUAUUAGAACGUUGACAGCGUUUGAAUGACUGAGUAAAUCAAUCAAUUCAGAAUGACAGAACUUACUCAACAAGUUCAAAGAGCAAAAAUCAUUAGUAGUCUCAGAGUUUCAAAGCAGAAGUUGGCACUAGAGGAAAAUAAGUAAAUUUGGAGCCCGCAUAAUUUGGUUUAGUUAUAUAUCAUCUUGUGAUUUGAGGAUUUUAAUCAAGUUUAGAUGAAAUGAAUUAUUGAAAGUGAUGUUAGAUUUUCCAUCAAGUAAUGAUUAGAGGAAAAAUAAAUAAAUUUGGAGGUCACAUAAUUUGCCUAAAGAGCAAAAUGUAUGGACAAUUAUAGAGACAAUUUUCAGGUUAAUUUUUCUUAAUCAGAUCUGCAACGUUGCCUAAUAGUUCAAGAAUCCCAAUACAACCAUAUAUGACAAGCAGUUAAAAUAUCCAGUGUUGAACAUUCAUGCAAAUCCCAUGGCUGCUCGAGCAAUCAUCAUCCUGAACUUCUGCAAUAUAUUAUCAUCCCUAAAACACAUUUCAUGCCAUGCUGAAUUAGAUAGUGAAUUUUACCUUUGAAUUAGAAAACAAAAAUGGAUAAGCAGUACAGAGAGAAAUUGGAAAAGAUACGAAUAAUUUAUGGAGGCAACAUAUUGUUUCUCAAUGUUAUUUGUCUGGAAGUUCUUACUUCGGAUGUAUCAAAUAAAGAACUAGUACACAAUCAUAACUAGCAUGUUCAAAACAUAAUCCAAUUACUACAAAAUAUAAGGAAUUGUCAUUAAGAAGAUUGUGAAUACGAUGGAAAAUUCAAAUAAGUAGUUCUCUAGUCCCAAUUAUCUAGGCAAAAAUGCAACCUAGUUAAUGAAGUAAGAAAAGCUAACUCUCAUAUGCUGAAUAAAUUGAACAGUUCACUGCCCAGGGUCCUAUCUUUUAUAGCAGUUUUAGCUCAAAAAGCAUAAACAAUAUCACAAGGUUUAGUCGUAUCCUUGAAUCUCUAUGAAUAGAAAUUGAAUAGAACUUUUACCAUGUGAUCUGCCCAGUUCUGAAUGCAUGAAUAGCAAAAUCGGUGCCCACAGGGUAAAACUCCCCUCGUCGAACUAAAAUCUGUCCAACAGAUGACACAUGAUAACUCUGUUGAAGUGGAGGGUAAGCUUGCAUCGAGUUCUAUAACUGGAUCCUCAAUGUUCUUUUGCAAAUCAUUCAUAUUGUGCAGUUCAUCUUCUGAAGUUAUUGAUAGCACUCUUGGUGCAUUGUCAACUAGUAAGUUUGUAUCUUUGGAAGUAGAUUGGUUCUCACAAGCUUCAACACCUUCAAAUCUGACACUUGCUAGUCCCCUUUCAUCACACAACUGUUCACGAUCAGAUGUUCCUCCAAUGUUUACCACUUCAAUAUCUGUUUCAGCAUCCCAAAGGACUGAUGGAACUGUAAGACUAUUACGAGUUCCCAAACGAUACAGCUCCGGGUCAAAAUUCGAAAUGUCAGGCUUGUUAUGAUCUUCCCUAGAGUUAUUACUUACAAGCAGGCGUCGUCUCCUUGAAGAUUUAACAGUAGAGUCUUGAUUACUACUUUCACCUUUUCUUUCAUCUCUCGCCAAGCUUGAAGGGCUACCACACUAUCGAAACAAAAUAAGAGCAAAUGUUAAUGAAGAAGGGAAAAACGUUCAAAAGUGCAUAAGAAUUUUUGUUUAGGGUAAAAUGCUUCUUUCUUUCAAGUGGCAUUAUGCCAAAAAAGACAGAGAAAUAGUAUUUCAUCAGAAUGGUGAAGGAAAUCAAUUGCCCAAGAAAAGAGACAUCGUGUAAAAGAAUAUGACAUUCUAAUAGAUGAAAAAAUAAAGCUCAAAAGAACGUAAAAAUUACACCUUUGAACAGAAUCUGAAAUUAUCUCAGGGUUCAAUUAAUAAUUUGAAAGAAGCAAACCAAGCAGCAGCUCAAAAUUUCAAAAACAGUAAUAGUGAGCUUCCAAUUUUGCCUAGCUGAGGCAAAGUAUUCCUAAGUCAAAGCCUAGCAACAAGUUAAAGGAAUUGACAAGUUCUUGGAUGAUUAUUGAUUAAUCAGAUCAGACCAUAUCAAUUCACCAACCCACACUAUGAAUGUAGAAGAAACUCACAUUAACAUAUAAAAAAAACCACUCACUAAUGUUCACUAGAACAGAUAUUUUAAGAUAUGAUUUAUUUGAACCAAUACAAAAUGUUAUAUUCUAAAUGUAGCCAUGCGGAGAAAACUCGAAGUAUGAUUGUGUUGAGUUUAUAUAUGUUUGUGGAAAAACGUUAGAAAUGCUAUACCAGACAGUGUAUACACUCAUUUCAUUAUCAGGGUUCACAAUCUUUUCCUCACACACUGCAUACCUCCUCUCAACCGUCUUGCAUUGUUUUGUUAUAUCUAAGAAAAAUCAUGUCAAACCCCUUUUCAUAUUGAAAGUUCUACAACUAAUUCUCCCAAGUCAUUUGGUUAAAAGGAUGCUAAAAUGCAUAGAAUGAAAGUAUCUGUGGCCCAUCUCAAUACUCUACUCUCGCCAUGGACUCAUGUCUCGAUAUUAUUGCCACAGUUUUUGCAAAUCGCCAACACAUGCCCUAUCAGAUUCCUACUUGUAGUCAUAUGGCUUCCGUGAAGAGAUUUUUUAUAAAAUUGAAGGGUUUUUAUCCAACAAUCUGUCUUUUCCUGCUAGUAAAAUUUAAUAUCAUGCCUAUUUGGACUCUAAGGGGGCGUUUGGGAUUUAGAGUGGGUUAUUAUAAUCUGUGGUUAUUAUAAUCUGUGGGUUAUUAUACUCCAUGUUUGGGGUGCAAAGUAUUAUAGUUUAUUUUUUGGCAUAUAUAUAUUAGGUACAUGAAAUACCAUUUUUUGAAAACAUAGCUCGAAUUGUACCUUCCACUAAUUUAUACAAACUAGUUUAUUACUAGUUGGGAUACAUGUCUUCUACAAUUUUAUAUUAUAACAUAUUUUAUAGAAAUUGCUAUGUGAUUAAAUUAAAUUAUGUUAAUUAGGUUGUUCAUUUAAUAAAUUUAGUUACAAUCUUCAUAUACGACUAUUAACAAGUUCAACAAGUAGAUAAAAUAAUUUUGCAUGGAAAAUAGCAUAAGUGUAUUUUUAAAAAUAUUAUUAUAAUUAAACUAAAAAUGUAUUUGGAAUGACUUAGAAAAAGAUUUUUCAAAAAUUCGUUUUUAUUUAAACACUUUUGAUGAAAACUUCUUAAAAUAAAAACACAAUGUGUUUUAAAACAUUUUUUAGAAGUACUUGUAUAUACAAGUUUUUAUUUGUUUGUUAGAUACACUAAAAAUGUUUUUUUAAAAUUUUUCAAGAUUGAUUGGUGGCAACAGUUGCUGGAGUUGGUUUUCGAAAGUUUCCUGGUAGAGUCACUGAGAGUGGUGGUUGAAGAUUAGCCAACGACGAUCACUGAAGACUAGCCUAAACUCUAAAAAUAUUUUUAUUAAAAAUUUUCAAUAUUGAUUGGUGGCGACGAUCGCCAGAGUUGGUUGUUGAAAGUUCGUCGAUGGAGUCACUGGAGGUGGUGGUCAGAGAUUGGCCGAUGAAGAUCACCAAAGAUUAGCCUUAAACCCUAAAAAAUUUAUAAAAGUUUCAAGGUUGAUCGGUGGUGUUGAUUUUAUGGAAUCAAUCUAUAUUUCAUUAAUUACUUAAUAGAGAUACAAGCCUAUAUAUAACCAUAGAGAAAUACACUUAAGGAAAUAAUAUCAAAUAAUAUCUCCAGAAUAAUAUCUCCAGAAUAAUAUCUCCUAAGAAUAAUCUAAUUAUAUUAAUAGGUGGCAACCGAAGGUUGGUUGAUCGGUGGCAACCAAAGAUUGGUUGGCGAUGGCCGCCAAAGUUGGUUGUCAGAAUUUUACUAGUGGAGUCACCGGAGGUGGUAGUCGGAGACUGGCCAGCAAUGAUCAUCAGAGGUGAUGUCCGAAAGUUGGUCGACCAACUUCCCAGCUCUUGAAACAAAUACCCCUAGAAUUAAAGAAUAGUAAUGGCAUGUGAAUUGUUUUAAACUCUAAUCCUAAUCCUCAACUAAAACUAAACUUUGCUCCAAACAUGCGAGAUUGGGCUAAAAAGAGUAUUGAUGACCUCUCAACCACAGGUUGUGUGAAACUAUUGAAUCAUGAUGCAAUUUCCAAAGCUCUUACAAGAGCUCAAGCAAGGGGCUUAGCUAGCUUGGAUUGGACACUUAUUUGAAGAUGCUUGUGUUCCUUAAUUCUUCUGUUUCCUAAAAAGAUAAUAUUUAUCCUAGUUGCUAGAUCCGAUCUUUUUAAGGCCCAAGUCAUGUGAAAAGUGAUUCACUCUAGAGAAAGGUUGUGCACAAGGAUAGUUAUUAAAUAUUAUUACCGCUGCUCAUCAACCUACUGACACUUUUACUACCAGAGACUUGAAAGCAUUUUUUAUGUCUUAAAGGCAAGCCCAUGCUCUUUCUUACUUGUUGCCAUUUGUUGGAGGUGAAUUUUGGUUAGCCUAAUACAUUUGCAUAGCAUUUUAAGCAGUAAAGUCAGUAGGUGGACCUCAGAAUAAAAUUAGAACAUGCCAAUUUAUUGGGAUUUUAUAACAAUAGAAAUUUAAAUUGUUGGAGGAUUAAUCAAAAGAUAUCAUGUCAUCGACCUACGAUUAGAAUUGGAGAACCAGAUCACAUUACUUAAUUUAAGAAAACUAUUUACGUACGUUAGUAAUAUAGAACAGAUGUUUAUUAAAUUUAAACCAUUCGCCAGUACAAGAUAUUACCACAGGUUAAGACCUUAAUUGAAGAGUGGGCUUUGUCCUAUGAAGUAUAGCAACAUGGACAAAAAUGACGAGAUUCAAAAUGUAAGAUGGAAAGAAGAAUGAUAUAUCUUACCUCAAUCGCAAAAAGACCAGCAGAAGUUGGUUCCUCAAAACGGUUUCUGCUACUUGAGCUUGAUGGGUCUUCUAGCUUAGAAAUCCUCUUCCGCACUUUGUGCUUUCGCUUAUGAGCAGUGUCAUCACUUUUUCUAAAAUCAGAGGACAGAUCCUAGUUGGGAAUGACAGUAAAAGGGUUAACGAUAGGCACUAACUCUAGUCAUGUAUUGAACUCCUUUUUUCUCUUACGAUAACAGUGGUAGAGUCGAAAAGCCCUAGGGCUGUUACUUUAUUAAUGAUCAAAAACAGUUGUACAAAAGGGGAAGCCUUACUCUAUGUAGGAUUUGUUUUAGUUCAACAUGUGAGGCUGGAAUUCAAACUUAUGACCAUCAAUACUUCAUACUUUAUUCCAGGUGAGCUAUGCUCAUAGCACUCUUUUCAUAUAGGCUUAAGUCAUGGGAUUUAAAUACAAUGAUAUUAACCAUACUAAUUAACUAAUAACCUAACUGUUGAAGUAGCAUACCCAAGUUUGAUUACAAAGAGAACCCUGACAUUUUAAAUAUCAAACAAAUCAUAGCAUGUACAAAGAUCUAUGAAUGGUGUUUCUUUCAUAAAAAAAAAAAAAAAACAACAAUAUUAUUAAUAAUGAUAACAAUAAUUUAUGAAUGGCACUUGAACUUGGACUCAAGAAAACCAAUAAAGUCAUGAAUGUGAAGAAAAUAAUGUAUUUCUCACCACGAAAGGAAAUGUAAAUCGUUUAAAAGAUUCAGAUACUUAAUAUUUUCCCUGAAGAGUUUAAUCUAGACAUAUGAAUUUCAAGUUACAACUUACAACAAAAUAAUUUAUUGAUUAUUUCUAGCCACUUAAACAGCAAGUUUGUGCACAUAUCUUAAGAGAGGAAUGUCUCAAAUCACCUUAUCCAGCAAAGAAGAGCGGGGCAAGAUUGAAUCACCAAAAGAGCAUAUGUCUUUAAUACUUUGAUCUUCAACAUUUCCGUAAUUGUGUAACUUUUCAGAAAGCAGGUUAUACUUUUUGGCUGAGACAUAGCCCUUGUCAGCAAGAGGGAGUUUCAUUGACAAGGGACCUAUAGAUUGCCCACUGCAAGGAAUAAAAUCCACAAUUCAAAGAGAAAAAAUAUAAAACAAUUACAGGAUAUAUGCCAUAAAGCAAUGGUGGAAAUUAACUGAUAUGUAACCGAGCCUUAGUGAAAGCUCAAGAAAAGACAUGCAUACAUACAGACCAAAUGCAAAGGAAUAUAAAAGGAAGAACAGAUAAUCUGAGACAAAAGGUCAACAAUUUAUAAAUUCUAGUUAUCAUUUACUGUGAAAAAGAAAAUUAUAUAUUUUGCCAGGAUUAGGUACACAAGAAAUGAAAAGAUGGACUUCAUAAUUUAUUUUCGAGGGAAAAAAUAACAGAAGACUUUCCGGGUUUGACUGCAAGAGUUGCAUCAAAAAGUAAGAAGACUCGGAACAUAGGCAAUGAAUAAAAAUAAGCAGCACUUCUCUGGGUUGAUUGGAAAUGUAGAUUUUCGCCCUCAAUAUUUUUCAUGCAAUUUUUGUUAUUUGUUUAUUAAAUGUUACUAAUUGCACAUUUUCCAUCCUUGCCUUGAUGGUUAGAAAACAGAAAUCUUUUGUUGGAUCACAAAAUGGAUAUAUCAUUCUUAAGUCUUUAUACUAGUUGUAAUGUAAUUGGACAAAAGCCCCACGACAGAAUGUUAAUGCUUGAUGAUGUCUGCAAGAAACUAUAAUGUAAUCUAGAAAAAGUAACAAUUGACAAAACCUUUGGAGAAUGUAAGGACCUUCAGGGACACGCUUUCCAUGUUUGAUGCAAUCUUCAAGCCAACGAUGAUUGACUAUUAUUGUUCUAAACUUCUCAGCAAGAUCAAAUUUCCUCCCUUGUAAUUCCCAACAAAUCUAAUCACCAUAAGAAUGGACAAUAAUUAACAUCAUUUUUUAGCCUAAGAUUGCAGACGAGUGAUUCAUAACAGAUAGAUACUGCAAUACUAUACUCCAUAAAGUGUUUCAUCAAAUCCCCAUCCAAAACUCCAAACUUGUUCUGUUUUACACAUGCAUAAUCGCAAAACUCAUCUUAUUGGAAAGCAAUUGGUGAACUUCAGACUGAAUUGAGAACUAAUAAAAAAAAAAACCCACCAAAUGAGUAAUAGACCUUGACAUUGCACCCACAUAGCUAGCACCAGUAUAAGAUAUCAUCUUGAUAAGGUUAAAUCUUUCUGUGCCAUGGUAGCCACUAACAGUCACAACCACAGAUUCCAUGCCUUCAAUUGGACAGCCUACAGACGUCACAAAAAUCAAAGCACUAAAUCCCAGAGCAAAAGAAAUCUAUGGAGUAACAAAAUAGGCACAAACACAGUUUAAUGUUGCAGCUAGAAACUUAAGAAAUAGAAAGCUUCCAGAAGAAGUUUCAUUUUCUGAUCAAACGGAUGAAACAAAUAGAGUAACGAAAGCAGAUAUUCUAAGCUUGCAAACCCUACAAAACUAUAUUGACUGAAACAGGACGUUAUCAAGAUCGAGCGGAUACAAGCUCCGGCAAACCCUAGAAAGAAUAUAAUUAGCAAGUGUGUAGAAACAGAUGCAUGAAAUGAGAGAGAAUCACCGGGAAUUCGAUUAGGGCAGGAAAGAAUUGUAUUAGCGAGACCAUGGUCUUCCUCGUGCUCUUCUUCCUCCAUCGAACCCUCAAGAAAUUGCCGCGAAAAAUUAGAAAUAAAUUUGAAUUUGUGGGAUUUUAAAACAUAGAGGAAUUGGGAAGGAAAUUUUGGAUUAAUAUCGUGGAUUUUGAAAAUAAUUAUAGAAACAAUACUUUUGAAAAUAUUUAGAGAUUUUAGGGUAAUUUUGCAUCUCUCUCAUUUUCAACCCAAGACCUUGCUACCUUCAUUUUUUUCUUUCCGUUUUUGGAGUAGCAUAUCCUGAGAUUUGCAUCGGGACCUUUGAAUUUUAAAAUGGUACAAUCACUCCACCAAAAGCACGAAAAUGUGAGAGCACCUGUCCCAGACCCUUAAUAGAUCCACCCAUGUGUCUUUGUAUGUUUUGUUUUUUAAUUUAUGAUCCACCUGACUAAAUUAUCGCUUUCUUUAUAUAUUUUGUAAUAAUGGUUUUCAGUUGGAAACUCAAACUUUUUUUUUUAAACUGAUAAUCUAACUAAACAAACUACCACUUUAUUUAUUUAUUUAUUUAUUUAUAUAUAUUAAUUUGUCUUGUGUUCAAAACCUAACCUUUUAUGUAUUUUUUUUAUUUUUUUAUUUGUAAUCUAACUAAACAAAUUACCAACUUUUAUAUAUUGACAAUGGUCUUGAGUUCAAAACCCGAGUUUGUAUGUAUUUUGUUUUUAUUUUUAUAGUUUGUAAUCUAAUUAAACAUAUCACCAACUUUCGAUCUUUUUUAUUAUUUUUUAUUUUUUAUUCCAUCUAACUAAACAAUUAAUUUAAAUCAAACCGUAUUGAAAUUGAUAGAAAUUAGACAUGUGAAGCAUAAACCGGAUCUAAAUUCUACUCUAAUUCAACUUAAUUAACGAGAAAACCUAAACCAAAAAAACAAAUUAGGCUUUUUCUUAGGAUACUUACAUUUGAAGCUCCGAUUGUAAUUUGAACUACCACUAAGGUUGACCUACUAUCAUCUAGACUCAUAAUCGGAGUGUAGGGCUCGUUGGAAGAAAGAACCGGGAGAGAGAGAUGAAAAUGAAGAGAAAUUUGGCUUUCUAUUCUUCCUUUUUUUAAAAAAAAAUAGAGAUAACCAUGAGAAUAGCAAAAUAAUAGAGUGCAAUUUAGAAAAUGGCAAAUUCUCAGAAUAAUUUGAUUUUUAGCAAAAUCGCAUGUAGUAGAUUUUUUUUAUAAAUUUUCAACUGAUUUUACCCCUUGAUAGUCUGAAACUCAUUUUUUUCACUUACAGUGUAUUUGUGUAGUGUAAAAUAAUAUAAUAUAACAUAGAAUUACGAAAAUAAUGGAAUAUAACACAGAGUUAUGAUUAUAGUGUAUUUGCAUAGUCUAUAAUCAAGGCAUGUCAUGCAGAGAGUUACGACGAACACAUUAUGCGCGACGACUUGACUCGAUGAUGUAUUGCUCUUGCGUUAUACACACACAAAUUUAGUAAGUCCAUAUUGAAAUUCCAACCAAAUAGCUGGGGACAUAUGGUGUAAGACGAAAUUCGCUUCUAUCUACUUUAGGGUUAGUAGAUAGGUUGUUCCCUUAAGGACUGAAUCCAAGUCUUGAACAAGGGGCUUCACCCUCUCAUUGGCCCGAGAGGGAUUUAAUUUAUAGGUUGGACCUUAAACCAAUUGUGGAUCAGUGGGACUUAAGGAACAAGAUGUAAUCUUUGAGGUAAAACGGUAUUUUAACCUAGCCGAACUUAUAAACAACCUGUGAAGAAUUAACUUACUAAUCAUGAUUAUAUCAAAUGGAUACAAAUAUAUAUGUAUAGUAAGGGGAGUGCAACUAUGAGACUUUAGUGGAAUGGCGUGUUAGUUAACGAAUGUCGAUUAGCUUAGUCUAAAAGAGUUUAAUCAGUUAAUCUCGAAUUGUUGGAGCCCAUGAUCUAUAGGUCCAUUAGGUUCAUUUGCUAGCUCAUAUGGAAUAAACUUAGAAUAGUAUGAUGGAAUGAGUCGAAUUGUUUGAUUUAGGUGAAGAGAGAAAAAUUGAUAAGUAUAUAUGAUAUAGCCAUCGAUUACUAGUUUAGAAACAGAGCUUUAUGUUUAAAUAUAAAAAAUAUGAAUAUGGAUUCAUACUCCGAAGCUCAAAAAUAAUGGAAAUGACCAAAAUUGUAAAAAGUCAAAAGGUUUACUUUUGACUUUGAAAAAUCAAACUUUGACCGGCUAUAGAUUCAAAUGUGAUUUGAAUUUUGAGAAAAUUAAUGCGGAUUCAUGCUCGGGAGGUCGAAUUUAGUCAAGAUGAUUGAAGUUGUAAAAUGUCAAAAUGUUGACUUUUGACUUGGAAAAGUUAAAGUUUGACUUUGACUUGAAUAGUCAUUUGACCCAUUGACCAAAGUUAGUGGGAAAAUCCAACAUUUUGUGCGAUAAUCUCACUAACUUUUAGCGGGUUAUGUGGUGGCUCAUGGUAAUGAUACCAAGUCCACUAAGAGAAAAUGUAAUAGUGAAUAAAUCCACUAAAGGUUAGUGGAUUAUAAGGUGUUAGCCUUUGGUGAUUCCAUUACGUGCAAAUUUGUAUGUAAUUUAUUUAUAAAGGGAGAGUUUUUCAUUUUUUUAAAAAAACUUUUUGCCUUUUUAUGAUUUUACUUUAAGAAAAAAAAAAACCAAAAUUUCCCAUUUAUUCACCUUUCCUAAAUUUCCUUCACUCUCUCAAUCUAAUACUUCUUCUUUCGAGUUCCACAACCUGAUUCUUUGUCUAGAGGAUAAUAAGUGACUACUAAUGGUGGUCCUAGUUUGUGAUUGAGGAGUAGACAUUUCUUUCGAAACUACAAAGGUUAAACUUUCAAUAAACCCCAAUUCCUUUUACUUUAGAGUUGCAUGUUAAUUAGGUGCAAUUAAGGUAAUUUUUCGAUUCUUAUUUUCGUUGCGAUUGUCUGCUUUCCUUACAUACUCAACCUCAAAUGUGACUACCAAUUAAUAGUACAGCUACCAUAUGUAUGAUUAACAAAUUUAAAAAUGAAGUGAUAAACAAUUAAAUUUAACAAAUAUGUAUGAUUACUUAUUCAUUUAUGACAAUAAGUUUCAAUACCUCUAACACUUCUUCCUUUUUAGUUUUAUAUUUUUCAAUAGUGGUUUUACGAAUAACACUCCCUUUGAGACUCCAAUUAUUUUGGAAAUGUUCCAAACCUCGUAAUAGCAUAUGCUCUAUUAAGUUUGCAGUUUCAAAGUGGAAAUAAAAAUUAGGUUACAAAACAAUAGAACGCAACAAAAUAUAAAUAUUAGCAUUACUUUAGAUCAUUUUUUUCUUUGAGUUGGCACAAACAAUGAGCAGAUAAAACUUGAAAGCAACAAAAAUUUAGGACAACAAGUUUAACUACAAGGAUGCAUCUAUAUUUAUAAUAAAAUUGGAUUGUUCUUGAUUCUAGCUAUGGAACUUUAAAAGACAAUUUUUUAAUUAUAAUAAUCAUACGCAUUUAUUUAGGGUCUUUUAAAAAAAAAUAACAAAGCGGCAUAAUAUUUACACGCUAUAGAAAAUUUCUGAAACAGAAAAAGAACACUGGCACACAAUAAAAAAUAAAAAAAAUGUUUCAUAAUUAUUUUUCAUUAUAUUUAUGAAAAUUAUUCAUGCACAUAAUGAUUAUUUAUUAUAGGGAGGAUUUAUAUUUGUUUAUUAUUACAUUAUAAUGAAACAAAUAUUGAAAGAAUAAAUUAAAAUUAUUAUUUAUUACUAGCCAAAAAAAAUUGUUUAUUACAAACAACAUACGAACGUGUGUGAGGUUUUCUUUCAUUAUCUAGAAAGGUAAAUUAAAUGACAGUGACUUAAAAUUGACAUUAAAAUAUAAAAAAUAACCGUGGAUGACUUUUUUAUAAAUUAAACACAAUAUGUAGGGUAAUAUUGCAAAUUUAGAAUUUGGCCAGAGAUAAAAUAUAAUAAUAGGUAUAAUAUCAAAUCCAUUUUCUAAAUAUGGCUUAAAUAAAAGUGAUUUGGCUACCAAAUUCGUAUUUUUUCAAAAUUCUAUUUUCAAUUUAUAUAGCAAACAACCUUUUAUAAUAUGCUUUUGAAUUAAGGGCUAGAUUUGUAUUUUAAAGCUCUUUUCGUCUAGAUAACUUUUAAUCCAAACCUCUUUAUUCCUCUUUCAAUGUUUCACACCUCAUUUCCAUUUUGUCUUUAAUAUCGUACGCUUUCACACACUUAUCUAAUUUGUGUUAAUCUUGACUACACUUUAGUUCUCCAAACACAUAUUUAGAAUUUUAAAUAGGCUAUUUUCAAAUAUAAUAAAUCGAACCAAAAUAUUUACAAAAUAUAGUAAAAUAUCACAGUCUAUUUACGAUGAACCACGAUAGACUAUAGACACAGGUAGGUACUAGUCUAUCGUGGUUUAUGACAUUUUAAAAAUAUUUUCAGAAGUUUUGUUAUUUAAAACAAUUUUCUAUUUUAAGUUCAAGCAUGGAUAAUUUGAUUUAAAUAAAUAUUUUAUGUUUAAAUCUUACUUUGGUUCCUAAACAUUUUACAACGUAUCUUCAAACAUUUUAAAAAUACUUACUUUGGUACCUGUCAUUAAGAUUUCAUACACUUCUUAUAUUUAGAUUAUUGAGUUUUAUAUUAUCAUAUUACUUAAACCGAUAAAUAACUAAUAAAUCUUGUUAAUUUAUUCUAAUUUUUUUAUACCAACACAUUUAUCAAAUUUGUUAUUUUUUACUCAAAGUAUCUUACAUUAUUAUUUUUUUUAUUUUUCAAAUGGAAAUGUUGAUGGAGAAAAAAUGUAAAUAAAAUUGAUAUAUUGUUGAAAGUAAAAAAUAUAUAUAUAUAUAAAAGAAAGCAUAAGUUGUGUAUAAAUUAAACCCCAUGAAAUUACCUCUAGAUUCAUUAUUUAAUUAAUAUGAUUUAUUAAUUAAGUAAUAGGAUGAAUCUAAUGAAUCAUAACAUCCAUCCUAAAAAAUAGAAAGAAAGAAUUGGAAGGAAGAAAAAGAAAGAAUCAGAAAAGAUCUAACAUGAGUUGAGGAAAUGCAAGUGGAAGUGCAAGUGGAAGUGCAAGUGGAAGUGCAGUAGAAUAUAAAGGAAAAGUGACUUUUUUUUCCUAUAGUUAUCGGAUAAACAUAAAUUAACCAUGUGAUAUUUAAUUAAAAAUAUGCUAUUUAAAGAAAAUUUAGGAAUUAAACAAAAAAUUAAAAGAAGUUUAGUCCUCAAAAUUAAGAAUUAAAAGAAUAUUUUAAGGUAAGAUUAGCUUAAAAAUGGGUUAGAAAUUGAUUAAGAAGACCAGUGGUCAACCUUUUAUAAUUAUUUUUAUCCUUAAAAUAAAACACGUUUUUAAACUGAAUCCUCAAAUUUCAACCCAAACUCACCUUUAGGAGAAAAGGGAGAAAAAAAGAAAUAACACCGGGACAUCUCUUCCUCAAUCCGCCGGUGUCCGCCGUCGCAUUUUUCAGCAUCACUCACCGGAUAAUUAUACGUCAACUCAUCGUCGAUCAUGCCGGAAGACACCCUUCCCAUAGACUAUGUAAUGGAAGCCGCCUCCGGACCUCACUUCUCUGGCCUCCGACUCGAUGGACGUCUCGCCUCUCCGCCGUCUUCCUCAACUUCCUCUCCGGCUCACCGCUCUUCUUUUUUAUCUUCCUUUGCACAGGCCGAUACCAACUCUCCCAGGCAGCCCUUUGUCAUCGGUAAUUUUUCUAUCUGUUCUUUAUUACUCUGUGAGGGGAUUUGGAUUUUUAUGGAUGAGUUUUUCUUUUUCUUUUUUUCAUCUUCGCCAUUCCUCUUUUGUUGAUCCUCCAUUGAAACUUACAACUCUUUCCGUUUGGAUCGACAUCCUUAUAAUUGUUGCUAUUAUUAAUUUGCUAGGUGUUUCUGGAGGUACCGCUUCUGGGAAGACGACGGUGUGUGACAUGAUUAUCCAGCAACUUCAUGAUCACAGGGUUGUGCUGGUCAAUCAGGUUAGCUUCUUAUCUGCUGGAUCCUACUUAGAUUUUCUUCCGUUUCCUGAACUUCAUGGCUUUGCUGUAGGACUCGUUUUACCGCGGGUUGACAGCUGAGGAACUAGAACGCGUACACGAGUAUAACUUUGAUCAUCCUGGUAAUGACAUUAGUGAUUUUUUUUUUUUUUUUUUUUUUUUGUCUACUCUCAUUGUAAAGGAAAGCAUAGAGAUUCAAUGCUGUAUCAGCUGUAAAAUAUUUCUCAAAUGUAUGUGAUAACGAUUUGAUUGCUUUUAAACUAGGUGAUGUUGAGUAUAGAUAAACGGGGAUUAAGUUUUCCAUAAUCCAGUAGCAUAAGCUACUGGGUUUAGUUAUCAUUAUAUUCAAUAGAAACAGUACAUAAUAUAUUUCCCUCUCUUUGAUUAUUUUAAUUGAAUUGUUCCUAGAUUCUUUUGACACCGAGCAGCUUGUAGAUUGUAUCGAGAAGCUAAAGAGUGGCCAACCUUACCAUGUCCCAAUUUAUGAUUUUAAAACUCACCAACGCUGUGUAGAUAGUUUUCGACAGGUGCCGACAGCUCUUUCCAAGUGUUCACUUGUUUUUCUUUCUUGAGGGUAUUGGGCACAUUCUUUGGUACAAUUCUUUCAGAAAAUUAAUCAUUGGUUUGCACCAGGUCAAUGCAUCUAAUGUUAUCAUCUUGGAAGGUAUUUUGGUUUUCCAUGACCAAAGAGUCCGCAAUCUGAUGAAUAUGAAGAUAUUUGUUGACACAGGUUCAAAAUCUUGCUGCUAUUACGUUCUUUGCUAUUGUUUUUCUUUUUUCAUUUUAACCCUGUAUAAUUUCACUUUUCACAUCGUAGGCUUUAGACUUUUGUCCUGAUUGUAUGGAAUUUCUUGCAAAGCUUACACAUUACACUCAAUGAAUAGUAUGAGUGAAGAGCUCGGAACUGAGACUUAGUGAGAACAUUUUGUUUAGAGUUUCUCAAAUCCUGUGGAUGAAAUGAGAUAUGUGAAUGCUGAAAGGAAGAGUAGGAACAAAGGGUUUGUUGGUCCUCUUUGGGGCUGACAUUUUAUUAUUUUCAAAUGUGCAAGAGAUUUGAUUGAAAUAGAUUUUGUUCCUCUACAUAUUACCAUUAUUAUUAAAUAAUCUCUACCUUCACCUAAUGUUUGGUAUUGCAUUGAUUUUAGAUCCUGAUGUGAGGCUUGCUCGUAGAAUUAGACGUGAUACGGUAGAAAGGGGCAGGGACAUUAACUCUGUUCUUGAACAGGUAAAAUAUAAAUAUUCUUUCCUGAAUUAAACCUAUUCCAUCUUUAAUUAAAAAGGUUGAAGGCUGUGUAUACAUUGAAAUAUUUCGCAAGUAUUGCAUAGCUUACUAUCAUCAUAUUGUCUUUCCUUCAGACCCUAAGGAUUUUAAAAAUGCUCCCCCAGCUCAUUACUUGGUUAUUAUCAUAACUAAAUCAUAAUCAAUUUGAGAGCAUUGUGAAAAAAGAAAGAUGUCGAGGAACUCAUUACCUUGAGCCAAAUCAUUUUUUCUAAUCAUGGCCUGAGAAGAAAUCCAAAUCAUGCCUCCCUUCCCCAGUCUAAGCAACCAAAAUCAAGUUUAUGUCUGAAUAGUUGAAAAAUAGCCUCAAUCUAACAUGAUCAAAUAGUUAUUAUUGCAAUGAUUUACUUGGUCAUGGACUCAUGUCCUACUCAAUGAUAUCGCAGGCUUGUUUAUCAUUUAGAGCAGUGACUAAGGGGAAUAGUUGAAGUGUCAGAAGGAUUUGCUUUUGUUUAUGUGAGCUGAGCAAGUUUUAUAGUUUGUGUAUGAAUUUUAUAGCAGGAAUAACAAUAACAAUACUUCAGUGUACAACAUCUGACUGGCAUUCCUUUGAAAUUUGUUUUUAAAUUCAUUAUAUACUUGAGUGAUGUUUUCAUUUGUAUUAUUUGUGCAGUAUGCCAAGUUUGUAAAACCUGCUUUUGAUGAUUUCAUUCUGCCAUCAAAGAAGUAUGCUGAUGUGAUCAUACCACGUGGGGGUGAUAACCAUGUUGCAAUUGAUUUGAUUGUGCAACACAUCCAUACUAAGUUAGGCCAGCAUGACCUAUGCAAAAUAUACCCCAAUGUUACUGUCAUUCAGUCAACAUUUCAGGUAUCAUAUAACAUUUUCAAAUAGCAAUUCCCUCUAAUUAAUACUUUAUGUUCCUCUUUUUCCUCUAAAGGACUGGCCAAAUAGGCUAAACUUUUUACCUUCAGUUGUCUGUCCAUAUUGUUACACUUCAUACCGGAAUCAAUCUUCACCAACCUUGUGGAAAAGAUUGUGUAGACUGAGAUUUAUAACAGUAGACUUGAGGUUCUUAUUUUUUCUAAAAAAGUGUCAAAGAUAUGUGUAACAGAGAUGGAACUUGUUGCUUGAGAAAUGAGCCCACUGUUGUCACUGGUUUAGAGGUUUACAUGAAAUUUACCAUUUAUGUUGAUUGUUUCAAACCAGACUGUUAGAUUAAAACCUCACUAAAUACUAAUUUUCAUAAACAAAAGAAAGGAUAAACCCAAGUGACAAGAUACUCACCAACUCAAGAAGGUGAAAGACUCUUGGUGUGAUCUACUAAGUCACAAAAGUUUAAAUUCCAAAAACACUACCAGCCAACUAAAUACCCCAAACAACAAUAUAUGCGAACAGUACAAUAUCAGUAACAAUCAACACAGAACUGGCCGGGGGGUGGGGGGUGGUUGAUACUUGGACGACAAUGAGAGGAAUACCCAAUCACCAACACAAAAUUCAUGCACUCUGCGUUGUCUAUUUGCAAAUUUCUUUAUUCAAUUUUGGGCUGACUAGGGUGGAAUCGUAAUUGUUGAACCAUUUCAUCACUUUCGACCAACUGCUGGUCAAGAGUGGCAUUCAUGGUCUUCUGGCUACCAUAAAGCAUAAGCGUAGGUGGGGACCAACCAUAGACAAUUUGAAAAGAUGAAGUUUUCAAAUUGGAGUGAUAGGUCAUGCUGUGGCAUACUCAGCCCAAUGAAGCGACUUCGACCAAAUUCUCCGGACUUUCGUUUAUGAUCUAUGUUUGUCCAUCAAUUUGCAGAUGGUAGCCUGUGCUUUGUCUUAGCUGAGUGCCCUUUACACCGAAUGUUUCAACCCAAAAGUUGCUCGCGAAAAUCUUAUCACGAUCUGAAAUUAUUCACUUGGGAAACCAAUGUUGCCUUGCAAUGUUUUUGACAAAAGCAUUAGCCAUUGUCUUAGCUGAAUAGGGAUUUGUUUGAGGAAUAGAGUGCACCUACUUAGUCGAUCAACUAUCACAAAUCCUGGAAUGUAAUCAUGCAAUCAUGGAAGCCCCUCAACGAAAUCCAUUGAAAUGUCUUUCCAAAUUCGAUCAGGCAUCUAAAGGGGUUGCAGAAGUUCAGCUGGUGACAUGGAUCCACUCUUGUUUCUUUGGCAAGCGAUGCAUUCAUCCACAUUUCUUAACCAUUCCCUUCAUUCUUGAUCAAUAGAGUUCUUCUUGUCUAUUGCUUGUAUGCUCUCAAGAAUCCCAAGUGGCCAACCAUAACCGAAUCAUGGUAGGGUUGUAACAUAGCGGGAAUACGUUUAGAGUUGGGUGUAAGUGUCAUCACUAACCACCCUUUGUACAUCAGGGUGUCUUGUUUUAAGGAGAACUUAGGAUGGCUGUAAUCAGUGCACACUUUCUGGAAAAAUUCAACUGGACUCACUUCUUCCUCCACGAUAUCUACCUCAAGGAUGGUCAAAUUGAUAGUUGUUGAAAUGUACAAUAGGUGGCAUAUGGGAAAAGAGCAUCAACAACUUUGUUCUCUAAACUAGGACAAUAUUGGAUCUCAAAAUCAUAUCCCAAAAGUCUUGCCACCUAAUUUUGUAACCAUGGAGGAAUUGACUUAUGCUCAACCAAAAACUACAAAGGUUGUUGGUCAGUUCACUUGAUAAAUCUUCUUCCCUAACUAGUAGGAUCACCAUCAUUGGACAACCAUUACUAUAGCCAUGAAUUCUCACUCAUAGCUAAUUAGUAGGAUCUCCAUCAUUGGACAACCAUCACUAUAGCCACGAGUUUUUGGUCAUAGGCUGACUUAGCUUGGCUCUAGCAGACAACAUAUGGCUAAACUAUCCAAGGCGGAGGAAAACCGUGGUCAUCAAUUAUGGGAGUGCUAGUAUGUUCGGGCUGUGUGGAAUUCUCUUCUACAAGAGUUUGGCAUUAGCUACGCUGGCUAACAGAGCAUUCGUGCGACAAUUGAGGAAUUACCCACACAUCCGCCUUUCAGAAAGAAAAUGUGUUUUUUGUGGCUUGUUGGGUGCGUGCUGUGAUUUGGGAUGUAUGGAUGGAGAGGAAUGAUCAGGUGUUUUGUGGUAGGGAAAGGGACCAUAAUGAGGUUUGGUCUUUGGUUAGAUUUCAUGUGCCCCUUUGGGCUUCGAUUUUGAAGGACUUUUCUAACUAUUCCAUUGGAAACAUUUUACUCAGUUGGAACUCAUUCUCAUAGGUUGGAGUCUUUUUUUGGGCUUCUGCCUUUGUACUAUUUCAUUCUAUCUUAAUGAAAAUUGUUGUUUCUAUAGAAAAAAAAAACAUAUGGCUAAAAUAGACCAUGGGCCUUUGAUUUUGAGAGAGUACAACCCCAAUUGCCAUUUUAGAUGGAUUUAUCUCUACAAUGAAAGCAAUGGAGUAAUUGGGCAAAGCCAACAUAGGCAACAUAACGGUGACCUUUUUUAGAGCUUCAAAGGCAGACACGUCUUCAUUUGUCCUAGUAAAUAUGUUGUUUUCGAUCAUUUGGUGUAAGGGUUGGGCGUUUUGGCCAUAAUUCAAGAUAAAAUGCUUAUAGUAGCUAGUAAGGCACCCAGAAAAGUUCAAAGUUCCGUAACGUUCAAAGGUUGUGGCUGUUCAAAGAUAGCUCAAAUCUUCAUUGGAUAAGCCUCGACUCCUUCGGUUGACCCAGUGACCUAGAUAAUCUAAUUUCUUUUGUUAAAGUACACUUCUUGAGAUUGGCAAAUAAAAUGUUUCCGCACGAUGUAUUGAAAACCAUAAUGUGAUGAGUUAUGUGGGAUUCCAUAUAAGGACUAUCACAAUAACGUUGUCAAAGAAUACAAGAAUGCACCUUGUAGGAAUGGGCAAAAAACUCUGUUCAUGAGGUGCUUGGAAGGUGGCUAGAACAUUCUUAAAGCCAAAAGGAAUCAUUAAAAACUCAUAGUGGCCUUCACGAGUGUGACACAAUCUCAAUUACGUAUGUCUUAUUUACCCUAAUUUGGUGGUAGCCUAAGUAGAGAUCCAAUUUAGAGUAUACUUUUGGCCCCAUUAAGUUCGUCUAGGAGUGCUUCAAUGAUAGCCAUAGGAACGGGAAACAUGUCUGGGAUGGUAGCUUGACUCAAUUUAUGACAUUCACACAAAAUCUCCAACUACCAUAUUUAUUUUUUACAAGGAGGGCACGGCUUACAUAUGUUGUUGAGAUGUAUAAUUCCAGUUGAUAGCAUCUUAUCAAUCUAUCUCUCAAUUUCAUCCUAGUAGAUGGCAGGGUAACAGUAGGGCCUCAGGCUUAAGGGUUGCUUCCACUUUGUUAGCAUGAUGCAAUGAUCAAGGUCUCGUGAGGCUUAGGGCUGAAGGUUUGGUAUAUAUCUUCAUACUUAUUUUACAAUCUAUGGAUCUCUGAUGGUAGUGAUGAAAUCAGAGUUGCCAUGGGAACAUUAACGUUAUUCACUUGAGCAGUAAUGACCCGUAGUUGCAGGAGGAAUCCCUGAUCACCUUGUUCCCAUGAAUGCUUCAAUGUAUUAAGAGAUACAUCUCUCGUUAUAAGCAUAGAAUCUCCUCUGUCACCACGCAAGAAUCUCCUUGGGGAAUCGCUAUGGUCCAACUCUUCCAGUCCACCUCUGUCACUCCCAGAGUAUUGAGUUAUUGCAUCCCAAGUAUAAGGUCAAUGCCUCCUAAUCAAGCGACAGGAAGUCCUCUGUAACCAUGAGAUCUGAAAAGGACAAAACCACUUUUUUGCAAAUGCCCUUUACCACAACUUGCUUCCGUUAUUCUGAGGAUCAUCCCAUAGUUGGCAGUGGCAGUAUAGGAACUAAGAAGUUUAAGCUUGUUGACCACCUGUGGGGAAAUGAAAUUGUGUGUGGCUCCCCAAUCAACCAAAACCACAACCUCUUUGUCUUCCAGCUUUCCUUUUACUUUAUAGUAUCAGAAUUCGUAAUUUCGACUACAAUGUUCAAGAAUAGCUCAACGGCUCAACCAUCUCUUCAACUGGUUCCUCGGAUGGACCCUUUCCACUUUCAGUGAUCAUUCUCUCUUCCAUCACUCGUUGUUGGCAAGCAGCAACCUUAACUCCCUGCUCUUGCACUUAUGGCUAAUGGUGUACUUUUGAUCAUAUGAGAAAUAAAGAUCCCUUUCUUUUCUCGCUCUAUGUUUGAUAGACGUUUGUAUGAAACUUUGUUCUUUCUUUUUGGGGGGUUGGUGGCCAGUGAGAGUAAUAGUACGAACAGGGCUGGGAUCCUAGUCCUGGGUUUAUUAAAAUGCUUCGGGUUGAAAAAGAGGGAUUGAAAGAUUUCUAGGCCUUGGAAGAAGGUGGGGCCAAUUCUGUUUUGGAUGGCCAUAUUUUAGUCUUCUAUUCUUUGGGCUGCUUUCAUAGUUUGGGCCAAGCUGACUGGUUCAAACAGAUGAAUUCAGUCUUGAUAUCUUCAUCUAAUACAUUAAGGAAGAGGCACUGACAUAGCCUCAAAUCUCUCCUUGAAAUCAGUUAUAGUUGAUGCUUGCUUGAUUGCUAGAAAUCUCCUGCAACCGGACCCCUCUGAUGGAUGGAAAUGAUCCAACAUCUACCGCUUUAAAUCUUUCCAUCCUUCAAACAGUUGACGACCGUCAGCCCAAUUACACUUGUGAAACGAUGCACUGGAGAAAGAGAAACUACUUGUUGUGAUCUUCGUGGUUAUUAAACAUUAUUACAACAUUUUUCUAGUUGUCGUUUACCAACUUUACAGGGUCUUCCAUUUGUUGUGCAAUAUUUUCCACAUUUUGCAUCAACUCUCUCAUUGUCUUAUUAAUUUUAGGCAGCUUUGUCACCUCUUCUCUAACAUCGCUCAUAUUGUACGUUCUGCCACAUCUAUCUUUUCCUUCUUUCCUCGAGCAGUCUUUGUGCCAUCUUUCUUAUUUUCCCAGGAUUGAAAUUGAACAGUGCUCUGAUACCAAUGAGGUUAAUACCUCACUAAAUACUAAUUUUCAUUAACUAAAGAAAGUACAAACCCAAGUGUGAUCUACUAACCACAGCUGAAGUCACAAAACUAACCUCCAAAAACACUCCCAACCAUCUAAAUACCCCGAACAAGAAAAUUAAGCAAUCAGUUCCAUAAUAGUAACAACCAAGAUUGUACUGGUGGGGGGGAUUCUCAUUUCUACCCCUUUUAACAUACGUACCAACUAUUAUUGCCUGACAGACUGAUGAUAUAUGUUUGUUCCUGUUCUCAUUUUAGCUGUUACUUCUCUCCAUAAUCUCACGUGGGUAACUGUAUUCACAGAUAAGAGGCAUGCAUACAUUAAUUCGAGAUCGGGACAUUUCAAAACAUGAUUUUGUAUUCUAUUCAGAUCGACUCAUUCGUCUGGUACUUUCCGCUACAAAACUCAAAUCCUACUUUCAUUUUUCUAGUAAAGUUGUCAUCGUGAUAGAUUUUGUUUCUUUUAAUUCUCAGGUUGUGGAGCAUGGCCUUGGCCAUUUGCCAUUUACUGAAAAACAAGUGAUCACUCCUACGGGUGAGUUGAGGAAGUAACCAGGCUUUAUACUUUCUGAAAUCUAUCUGUGCAAUAAACUCAUUUCUCUUUCCGUGAGUGUCUAAAUUUGUCCUACUUUCUUGGUGUGUGUUUACUGAUUAAUAAUGAAUGUAUGCUUUUGAUCUCAGCAUCUGUAUACACUGGGGUUGAUUUCUGCAAGAAACUAUGUGGAGUAUCCAUUGUUCGGAGGUAAGCUUGACAUGACUAUCUAUGAUACUUGAUUUCUGAAUAGUUGCACUAAAAUUUAUCUGAAAUGAACUUGCUGGUUGUAUCUGUUGUGAUCAAUUUUGGAUGACUUUUGAGGGAAAAUGAGGUAUAUUAAUUAAGCCUUGAGACUUGAUGAGAAGGUUCUCAUUGAUGACAGUUCUCCUCAAUCUAAUAAUGUAGUGGUGAAAGCAUGGAAAAUGCAUUGCGUGCAUGUUGCAAAGGGAUAAAAAUUGGGAAGAUUCUGAUUCACCGUGAGGGAGAUAAUGGGAAGCAGGUAAGACUAGACUGAUGUUACUCUUGAAUUAUUGAGUUUGUUUGGAGCUUGAUCUGGCCUUUCUUUUGUCACUUUUGGUGUUAGUUCUAUAAACAUUACAAGAUUUUUUUCUUUUUCUUUUUGAAACUAAACAGCUGAUAUAUGAGAAAUUACCUAGUGAUAUAUCAGAGCGACAUGUCCUGCUCCUAGAUCCCGUUCUUGCUACUGGUAACGAUGUCAAUCCUUAUAUUAUAAGUUAAAAUUUCUUUUUACCUAUCAUUAGUAAUACAACAAUAUUUUAUCUAUGCAGGCAACUCAGCUAAUCAAGCAAUUGAUCUACUCAUACAAAAGGGAGUUCCAGAAGCGCACAUCAUAUUCCUGAACUUGAUCUCUGUGAGUUAUUUUAUCCUAUUCAAAUUGGUUAAAACUUAAUAGAAUUGGUUGCAAAAAAAUUCCUUUACUGAUGUCAAAUAUCACACCUUCUGAGUUCAGGCCCCUGAGGGAAUUCACUGUGUUUCCAAACGCUUCCCAUCCUUGAAAAUUGUCACUUCUGAGAUCGAUGUUGGAUUGGACGAAAAUUAUCGUGUCAUACCCGGCCUAGGUGAAUUUGGUGAUCGUUACUUCGGUACCGAUGAUUAGUUAUGCAUCUAGCUGGUUGGAAAGUAUCACAUAGCUCAGUGAAUUAGAUAAAAAUCCAUGAAUUAAUCAUUGUGGAAGAUCAGCUGCAGAUUUUCUUAGAGAUUCAGCAGUAGUCUUACCAAACUGUAGAUGAAGUAUUCAACAUUAAACUCAAUUUGUGCGGUAGAAAUUAUCGAAUCAUUGAUGUGAACCCAGACACGAGUGAAGGAAUCUAUUUUUUGUUGAAAGAUUAUGUCUAUGAUUACAAAUUCAAAUAAGAUUUUUAGUUCUAAUCAUGAAAGCAAAGAUUGCAAUCUAGUUGUAAAAGUCAGAAUGGCUCUCUCUAAUGCUGAAUAAAUUGAACAGUUUGGUGCCAAAGGUGUUGGCUUUUUGUAUUUGUGUUUUGUUAGCUCAAAAGGCAAAAAGAAUAUCACGAGGAGGUUUGAUUGGAUCCUUGAAUCCCCAUGUAAAUGUAUUGAUAGAUAUUGAAGAAUAUCGAAACCGUCACUUUGCUAGUUUCUUUUGUUACACAGCUACUCAUUACUUACCACUUCAAUUUCUCCUAAUGUGUAAUGGAGGAGACUGAUAAAAUUUUGCAAGCCAACCACCCCUCGUGUGGUACACCAUGAAAUGGAUGAUCAUUUGGAUUGAGUUUAGGGAUGAAGUGUACACAAAAAUCUGACCCAAAUGUCUACAUCAAUUAUUUUAUAGAUUUUGAAAAAGUUAAAAGAAAUAGACACAAAGGAAAAAGUUAAAGAAACAUCUUUCAAAAUUGUUUGAUUGUUGGGGAGUAUAGGUAGGGUGUUGUUUUAGGCUUAUUGUUGCAUAAUUAUAUUUGUCAAAACAUGACCAACAGUCAAUAAUGUGUUAAAGAAAUGAGCAUGGAGGUUCUCUAACUUUGACAAACACAGUAGGACUCGACCUCUUAGCAUAUUAAAACAAUGUUUCGAAUGGGAGAAAUAAGUAAAAUGGGUAGAAACAUGCUUAUAACUAAGUGAAUAUCAUGUCUUAAUUAAAACCAACUUCAUAGGAACAUUUCAGGAAUAAUAACUAAGCUAUCAAAUAUGAAGGACGCCACACCACACCACACCACACCACACCCUUCCAACUUUUUUACAAUUGGAACAAACCUUUUAUCCAUUUCAAAUAAAUCCAAUCUGCGUUAAAUGCAGCAAUCCACUAAAAUUGAGGACUCUAGAUUUUAAAUCAAAAUCUGAAAUAUGUUCAACAAAUAAGCAUUUGUAAAUUGUAACUAAUUGGAAAAAAUAUAUUCUUAAAAUAAAAAAUUCCUAAGAUCAAGAAAAAAAAAUGUGUAGAUAUCUUUACCAUGUUUGUAUAGUAGUAGAAGUUUGCAGAGUUACUAAACUCGUAAAUGUUAUAGUUAAAAGGUGAUUUUCUAUAAUAUGAAAACCAUCAUUAAUUAUAAUUAAAGGUGAUGAAGACAUAACUUAGGAUUUAUUUUUAAAAAUAAUUUCAGAUCUUUUGUAUUCAAAUUUAUAAAUGCAUCUAAAUUAUUCUUGGUUUUAACUUCCUUUAAGGAUAUUUUUUUAUUUUAUCUUUUAAAAUCUUUUAACUUUUGGAAUUAUGUCCACAAUGCACAAACAAUAUUUUAAAUUUUAUAAAUGGGUUUGAUAGUAUAUAUUAAGUGAGAAUACACACUAUAUAUUCAAUUAAAAACGCAUCUGUCUUGAGAUUGGUAAUGUUUAACCUAAUAGGGUAUCCACAUUAAAAGCUUUUUUUUUCACCAAAUUAUUGUUUUUAUUUGUUUACGUUUUGUUUGAAUUUGUGUCCUAAAACUUCAUCAUUAAUGAGUUAUUUAAUAAUUAUUUUAUAUAUCAUUCAUUGCCAUAAUAAUCUAAAAUUAUUCUGUGCAAUUUUGAAUAAUAUGUGAUUUUACCUACUAAUUGAUCAAUAUUUAAGAAAUAAUCUAAAGGGUAUAUCAUAUAAAAUAAACUAGUCGAGUACUUCAAUUCGUUGACAUUAUAGAUAUGAUCGCAUUUUAUAAUUGGAAGAAACGACUUGUCUAUUUAUUCUUGGAGUUGAAGGCUUGGCCAGUCUUUUCUAGCAGGAUGAAUUGAACAAUUUGAUAGUUGGUUUCUUUUCUGUUCAUUCUGCUAUGACCAUUUUGGUCUCUUUCUUAUUCUUUUAUUAUUAAUAAUACUAUUUUUAUGUGGCAAACACAUCUUAACUCUCUCCCAACUUCUAAUGCAUUUGUUAGCUACUCCCUCACCGAGAGGAUUGCCUUUUGUGUCUUUGUGCCUUUACGUCUUGUAUUCAUGUCCCUCUUUCUAUGCAAAGGAAGUAAACAAAUUUGGUCUUUAUGACCCCAUAGAACUUCUCUUUCUCUAUAGUAGUUAUAUUCUGAUGUUGCUUCUCGUUCUUGCAGAGCUUGCAAGAGGUUUUGAACUAGAUGGAUAUCAAAGAGGUUCACGCUUAUUGCUUAUGCUAUCUAAAGCAGUUGCAAUCUCGUUUUCUGAGUACACAACUCUUCCACCUUAGAUCUUACCCGGUGACCCUUUCAAAUGGUGGAAUUUACUAUGGAAUCAUGCAUGGAUUAUUAGUUGUUCUCUAGUAGGGUGAUGUCCAUUCUCUUUUCAUGUUUUAGUCCUCUUCUAAACUCCGAGAGAACAUCUAUCAUUGGUUAGCCCCACUCUAAUAUGGUUUCUUCAAGUUGAAUUUUGAUAUACAAUAGUCUUUAAUGGGGAUGCAGGUAUUGGAGUUUAAUGUUCGUAAUUUCAAUGGCAAUGCAAUGUAUGCAUGACUUGGAGAUACAUUUACUUUUGUCUAGUUUGUUUGGUAUACAAAAGCUAAUGCCAGACAUGGCGGAAGAUAUUGUUGGACAAUGAGAGUCUAGAAAGCUAGCAUAGGCUUCACUCCAUAUUGAAAAUUAAUUCCCUUAUCAUCUAAAAGCUUUUGAUUGGAAAAUCUAUAUAUGUUAAUAAACUUCAAGUGUUUGUUGAUUCUCUUAAUUGUUUGCAUAAAGGUAAUUUUGAUUCACUAAGUAGUUCUGUUUUGUCAACUGCAGAAUUACUCAUUAGAAAGAAAGAAAGAAAAAACAAAAGUGCAAAGCCAUAGAGGUGAGGACUAGAUGGGAUGUAAAAAAUAGAUAUUUGUAGUCCAAAUGUUAUAGAUCAUAUGGUUCAAACGUAUCAAAUACUGUAAGAACAACAUAAAAGUAAAAUAACAAAUAGGGUGGAAACAUGAUAAUGGCUAUGCCUAAUGCCCCUAUCCCCAUCUUUAUUUAGAUUACGAAAGCUUUUUUCUUCUCGUACACUCAUUCUCUUAUUCUUCAACAAAACAAAAUGAGCAUCCCUAUAUUGAUUGAAUAUAUCUUUUCUUUAUUCAUAUAUAUAUAAUUAAUAUGUAUUACAAUGACACUUCUCAAAUAAUUAAUGUACUGCAAUGGAAUAACUAAAUUAAUGCAUUAUAUUAUUGUAUUAUAAAUUUAGUUUGAAUACAUUAAUUAAUUUAAUUUACUAGUGAAGUCAACAAAAUAUGUAUAAAAGUUUAAAGUUGGAAGCAAAAACAAAAGUAAUGUCAUAAAUUAUAAUAUAAUAAAAAGAAUUAGAUACUUAAACAAUAUUGUAUAUAAGAACAAGAAAAAUAUAAUAAACGUGUAAAAUAUAUAUGAGAUUGUGCUCUUAAAUAUAAACAUUGAAAUUUUAGCACUACAAUAAGAUGGAAGUCACAAAUAAAGGUUGGAAUCUUUUCAUCUAUAUAUAUAUAUUCUUUGAUUAUUUGUUGAAAGGAAAAAUGAAAAUUAGUCUAAGGUAACCUUUAAUUUAUAGACUACACUAGAGAUAAAAACUAAAUUAAUGAAAUUUGAAUUAAACUGUUUUAUGGAAUGCAUGGUUCUUUCCAAUAAUGGAAGGGCUUUGAGAAGUAAAUGAAUAAUGGUGAGUGUUACCAACUAAAUGACAAAUUGAAGUUGUAUUUAUUAGCUAACUAUGACUAGAAAUUAGGUGGGAAGUGGGGUUCAAUAAUUUAAUACACAUAAUAUAUACUCUUUUAUUGUUAGAGAAGUCUAGAAUUCCAAUUUGAAAAUUAUAUGUUGACUUCAUCUUCAAGGUUAUUACAAAAUUUAACUCUCCAUAUUCAUGCUAACAGUUUCUUUUUAUAUAUAUAGAAUUACUAAGCUGAAAUCAAUUCCUUGAUUAUACGAAGAUCUAAUGCUAAAUUGCUAAUGAUAUGCGUUAUCGUGUAAGUUUUCCUCUCUAUCGUUUAAGUGUAGACGAAGAGAGGUUUUCGGGUAAGUCUAGGGUCGAACACAAAGAAUUUAAGUUUCUAAGUUAUCUUAUUGCGCUGCUAAAUCAUGCAGUAUAAACUCUACAAUGUAACAUAUGAACAAUAUACUUUCUAUCCUAACUAUUUACACUACGGUAUUUGGCGAUGCAAGGUGACAUGAAAAAAAUGAGGAAAAAUGGAUAAUGAACUCGUUAUAGGCAUGACGAUGAAGGAAUAGUCUAAUUAUGUAAACGCAAUGAAUUGUGCUUCACAUUCAAGGCGAUACAGAGCAUAUUUUUUCUCUAAAUUAGGGAACGAGUUGCCUCUCGAUGCUUUUGCCAUACAUGUCCUCCUUUCGGGAUCCAAGUACACAAAGUUAAACUAUGAUUUAUAUUUAAUCAUUUUAUAAGCAUUCUAACUUGUUUCUCCUUGAUUAAGGCGGAAAACCUCUCGGUGCUUUCGUCGCACACAUUGUCAUUUCUGCAACGUAUGCAAAGGAUGAACUUGGCGAUAAGAUUGCAUUGCUUCAACCUUCUCUCUAAUCACGUAGUUAAAUGUGUGUUCUCACUUGUCAGAUGAUUACAAUCAAAAUCAUUGUUCCUCUCGAAUAUACAAUGUUCUUGACAUCCACACUUAGCUCAGCAAAACUUAAAAUGCAAACAUUAUGGUUCUUUAAGCAUUAAAACACAUUUUAUUUCUAGCAAGCUAAUCAAACGGAUCAAAUAAGGCAAGAAAUAGACAUACGAAAGAAUAAAAGAAGAAAUGUAAUGCAUUGAAUGAAAUAAUUUUAGGCCUCUCCACCAUCGAGUACAUAUUACAAUACAAAUAAUAUAAAUAUAAAAUGGAAGAAAGAAGAAGGAACUACGCCUUAGAGUAUGAUUUAUCAUCCUCUUUGGCUCCGAUUUUUGCCUAUUGAUGAGAGAAAUGAUGAAGGGGUAAGAACUCUCUCUCUCUUUUGCUAUGGGCUCUCACUUAGAAACUCAAGGAAAGGGAGGAUGGACAAUGUAAGAACUUGCUCUCCGGUCAAAGUUUUUGCAUAUUUUGUUCUGAAGUGAGAGGCUUCAUUUACAGGCGAGAUUUGAUGUUGACAGGAGACCACACGCCAUUAAUGUUUUUGAAAAGUUGCAUCGGCGUCGUGCAGACUAUCCUUUUGUCCUUUUUCUGACUUUCACGUCAACCAAUUUUGUUUGCUAGUGUCCUAACGCCUAGCUUGUUUCUUUGUUCUCACAUUGAUUGAACGAGUCUUCACAUGUAGACAUUAUUUCAUCGAGCAUCACUUAUUUUGCCUAAAAUCCUGCAAUAAAAGCACUAAAACGCAGUAAAAAAGGGACAAGACUCUUUCAUGUUAUGUUAUUCAUAAUUUAGUCAAAUCGUCUACUUUUUCCCUUGUAUUUCUACGAGUUAUCACACCACAAAAUUAAAAUAAUGUUUGUCCUCAAGCAUCAUCCCAGGAUUCUAAGCAUGGUUUCUCUUGUGCACAUCGAUAGACUUCGUUAUUUUACAUAAUGCAAUUCUAGUCUAUCCUGCAUUCUAGCAUUUCUUCUCUUCUUCACUACUCUAAACUUGAAAAUAUUUCUAAAUUCUAAACGUAGCAAGCUUAAGUCUCAAAAUAUCCUUAUUCAUUUCCAAAAAAUCGUAUUUUCUCUUUUUACGAAAUGAUUGUUGUUUAAAAAAUUCUUAGUUCCUUUCUUUUUCUUGCAACGCUUUUAUUAGCUAAGUUUAUUUAUUUACAUACAUUUGGCGUUGAGUGAAAAAUCAUAGGUACCCUAUGAGUCUAGUCCUCUCCUCAACUAUAACUUUUAUUGUCACUUAUUUACUUACUCUCAGAUUUGGACGAAUAAGCUUUGCUUCUUAUUUACUUGGUGAGAGGUGGCGACAAUGGAGUUCUUAUUUCAAUUGAAUUUAGAAUGAAAUAAUAUGCUAGUUUUUAUAUAUAUAUAUAUAAAAAGAAUUAAAGCUUGAAAAGGAAGGGUUACUUGAUUUUUCGAACACUUUAGCUCGAACCUUGCACACCCCCAAAUUUAAAGUCUCACAAGGUCCUCAUUGCGAAAAAAUGAGUAAUAAGAUGAACUUAGAAAAAUUUACAAAAGAGAUUUGAAGUAAAAAAUGUUCACCUAAUGACUACGAGAAAUAUUUACGAAGUUCAUUUUGCUAAUAAAAAAAAGUGUCAUCGUUAGGUACAAGCUAGAUGAACUUAGCAUAAUUUUCAUUAUGAAAGUUAUCCUUGCAAGAAACAAAAGAAAACAUGAAAAGAAUCCAUAAAUGAAACAAGUGCCAAGAAAAGUAAAAUGCAUAACUAGAAGAAAUAAGGACUUGAAGAGAUUUGAUUACUAAAUCGAAUAAGCAUAAUACAAAAGAGCUGAAAUUGAAAAGAAAAAAUAAUAGAAUUUUAAAAACAUCCCCCCAAAUUUAAUUCUUCAGGUGAGGAUCAAGUUCACUAGAAGUGGGAUUCGUUGGUUGAAAGGGGGAAUGGUGUCAUCAAUUCUGGUACGAUGAUAAGCUAACAGACACGUUUUACGAAUAUCGUGUGCAUAUACUUCAUUUGUGUUAUGAAUUGCAUGUCAUGCUGCUUCGAGAUUUGACACGACUAGUUAGAGCGGGCAAAAAUCAAACCUGUUAAGUUUUGCAGUGCAACUGAAAAUUGCAAGACCGUGGAGUUAAUAUGGUAGACUAUGGCUUCUAACCCAUCCAUUUUGGCACCGAGUCUUGUCACUGUUGUGUUGAGGCUGGUGACUUGGUUUUUUAGUGCCACAUUCUCCCUAAAGCACUUCUUGAAAAGCCUCAUUCAUGGGCCAUGCAAUUAUAUUUUAGAGUAAGUCACGAAGCACUCCUUCGUUAUACGCUUGGCCUUCAACUUUGGGCUAUGUUUGUCGCGUUGAGCUCAUCUCACCUCCAUCUUCUCUGACAAGUAGGUCUUUGAAGAGUGAGUUAUAAACGGUGUGCUAGGUUGUAGGGUCUCGUGGCACUACAUUAUCUGCCACAUUUUCUAUCUCAAUGUCCCCUUCUGAAAGAUUGACUACUGGAACGUUCAAGUUAGGACGCUUAGGGUCUAAAUUGAUGAUUGACGAGUUAAAGGGUGCAUGGCUUGGCGAUAGAUUUUUGUCGCGAGAGAGAGGUUUGAGGAGUUUGGACUUUGGGAGGAGAGGGAGGAUUUUCAUGAGAUAGGGAUGACAAGAGAGGUAGGGUAAGUGAAAGAAUGGGGUUGAUCUUGGUGGAGAAAGCUAGGCGAGGACUACACUGGCUGGAAGAGAUGGGAGAUGUUGGUGGAGGUAAUUUGGUUGAUGAAGAAGGCGAUUUGGUUGGUGGAGAGGAGGUGGCGUAAUUUCGUCAUAAGGUAGAGGUGGAGGUGGAGUGUCAUCUUGGAGUUGGAGUGAGUGAGAGAGAUCUCUUCUAAGACCCUUUUAUCUUGAGUUUUAUUCGCUUUCUGCGCGGCGGGUCAACGUCAGACAAGAGUGUUCUUAUUCACAUCAAUCUCUACCCUUGAGGUUGAUUCCUUUCGUUUCAGUGUGGGUGGAGGUGGACAUGCAUAUACUUCAUUAUUUUAAACUUCAUGUAUCCCUUGUUUUCAUGUCUUCUAACGGCUUUUUCUUCUUAUUUUGAUGGAGGGUUCUUAACGCACUUAAGCCCCGCCAAGUUACACCUCCCGCCCAUUUCUAUUUGAGGGUUUCUCGCCAGGGUGAAAAGGUACUUCAAACACAAUUUCUUCAUUGUGGUUGGGAAGGGUUUGGUGCCUUUGGGGUUCCUCAUCCAGCCAAGGAAAGCCUCAUUCAUUACAAUUUCCAAGUUAAACGUCGACUUCUUCAUGAUGCAGUAGAGGAGCAAUGGAUACUCAAAUGGCACCGUACUAUCAUGUCACGUGGAAAUUAUCAUCUUCUUGACAAAGAACAACCAGACAUUGGCUUCUAUUGUCAAUUGAUGUGGAUAUAGUUGCAACUUCUCAGUUGGCGUUUCUUUCCAAGACACGUCUGGAUAGGUGAUACACUGUUCAUAUCAUUUUUAAUAGGCUUGGUGAUAAUCCUCUGGCCAGGGUAGUCAUCCAGAUUAUUGGAGAGACCAUAUAAUUUGUUGAUCUCUUUUGUGAUGAAGGUAACCUUCUUGCCUUCCACUGUUGCAAAUGAUUCCACCAGAUGGUAUUUCACAUCAUAAAACAUAUUUACGACAUCCAGUCUCGCUUUUGUUUCUCCUCUAAAUAACUGCUCUCAUAUGAACACCUUGAUUGGCCCAUAAAGGAAGUUUGGUAGAUUACCACUAAACGAGAAGAACUCCCUCUCUCUUUUUGUUCUAAGCUCUCACCUAAAACUCAAGGGAAGAAGAAAUAAUUGACGAUAUGAACUUGCUCUCCAGCUAAGAUUGCACACCAUAUUAUGAAGUAGAGACUUUUAUUUAUAUGCGAGGACUUAUGUUGACAGGACAUUCCAUGCUUCAUUAAUGCCUCUAAAAAGCUACAUCAAAGUCGUGCAGACGUCCUUUCAUCCUUUUUCUGAUAAUAGAUGCCAACCCAAUUUUUCUGCUAGUGCCUCUGAUCGCCUAACCCAGUUGCUUGUCAUCAUGUUGGUUGGACACGUCUCCUCGCGUAGCAUUCUAUCAUCGAGCUCUACUUCUUUUUGCUUAUAUCAUGUGAUAAAAACAUUAAAAGUGCGAUAAAACAAGGACGAAGUUCUUUUGCAAGAUGCGAUAUACAAGAUAAUCAAAUUAUAUUUUUUUUCCUUUGUUUUCUUUUGUUCUUAUGCGAUAAAAUUAAACUUCAUUAUUUUACAUAAAAUGCUACAAUAACUUGUAUUUCUACAAUUAUCACUUAUUUUAUCCUUCCUUACCUGGCCGAAAGGCCUAAUCACUUGGGGAGAAAAAACUUAAAAAGUAAGUCAAAGACCUAGUGAGUGAUACUUUUAGAAAAUCUUUUAGAUGUACAAAGCGUCUAAAACUUUCAUCAAAUAGGCUUUAACGUCUCUUUUACAAAUCAUAAACACACAUUAGUCUUCCACAUUCAUUUCGUUGAAAAAAUGAACCAGUCUCAUGCACAUAGACUACUAUGAUGUCUGUUUCAUCAACAGCAUCCUUGGAAGAAUUUCCUGGUUCGUUUUUCGUUGCUCAAGUCUUUAAGCUUAAUCAAGGCUCCUUUUACGCAUUGGCCAACUUCACUCCACCAUGCAGCCAUUCCCUACAUGGAUGUCUUUACUCCUUGUGUGCACAUAAUAGUUAGCUUCAUUGAUAGGAAUAAGACAAUGGUUUACAAAUAAACAUAGCAUUCAAUGUAAUCAUUUAAUAUAAGACAAUUUUUCUUUCGAAAACAUUCUUUUCAUAAACAUUAGUGAUAAGAACAACAUUAAAAACAACAUGAACUUUGGAAGAAAAGCUUCAAAAUGAUUUAAAUUUCGUGUAGCUUAGAAUGCCUUGUCUUCAUGCUUCUUCUCGCCUAACUUCUUUUCUUUGUCCAACAGAGUAACACUAAUGAUUUUUGCAUAACCAUCUUUCUACUAUCUUUUCUCCUUUAUUUAUAUUUAUCUUCAAAAUAGAUUAGGUCAUCCUUAAGUCCUUAAUAACUUGUCAAUUCCUACUUAGAACUUUACACGCGUAUGCUUAAUAUUUCUCAUAACCAUGUUUAGCUUAAGCUCUUAAACAUGGCCCAUUAAGUAUACUAAGAAAAUUUCCUAAAAACUUUCUAAUUCUUCACCGCAUACUUCAACUCGCUAGACCAGACUUGCUCGCUCUCUCUUCACCUUGCGUCGCUUAAUCUUAAUGUCAAGCAUUCAAAACACAUUUCCCUUUCCCGCACCAUCCAGCUCUACGGCAACUCAACAUAUAUAGUACUUAGCUUCUCAAACACUUUUUUUCUUCAAAAUCUUCUCCAAAAUCCAUACUAAAAUACUUAUUUUCCAAAAUUGACCCUUCUAUUUAAACAUGGGUCUUACAAAGUCUUUCUUCUCUUGGAAGCAAUGGUACAAAAGUAGGAUAAAAUGUUAGAUAUAGGACUUUAAUGAACUAGAAAUGUGAACACAAAUAUAUCACUAUCAAAUUCAUAACUAUCUACUUCCUAUAUCUCAUUACUAUUAAUCCAUGUUUGUCUAGAAAUGAUAAGUGGUUCAACAAUAGUACCACGAUUAGGGUGACGUGAGUCGUUGCAUUGUAAUGACUUAUAAGACAAAACAUCAGGAUGAUGUGUAAUAGGUGCAAGUAUCUUUUUCACAACUUUUUAUUUUAUCAAACAUUUUGUUGGGUAUUGCUAUUUGUAAGAUACUGGAUUAAUGGUUUUAAAAGAAUGAAGUGUUGAUAUAUUUAAUGUAGAAAAUGAAGAGAAAAAACAAAAAAGUUUGCAUGUGAUAUGAUUAUUCAUUAAUGUUAAUAAGAAAAUAUUUUAUAAUAAACCUGAAAUUAGGGACAAAACGUCAAAAUAAAAUGAAUUGAAAAAAAAAAGGUUUGUUAAAAAUUGGCUACCAAACAGAGGAGGAAGGUUAGAUGCGGUGAAAGACUGGGAAGAUGACAGAGGUUUGACUGGAGAAACAAAGUUUGGAGUCGGAGUUGGAGGUUGUGUUUGGAUUCAGGGUUAAUUCCAACACUCACCCUGGAAAUAAUUGAGUUCUUGACUAGAAUAUGACUACACAAACACACAUUGUGGACCCGCAACCAAUCACCUACUCAUCUUCUUCCCAAAUCUCUCUUCUCUUGCCGUUUUCAACUUUAUUUCUUCCCCUUUUAUCAUCUUAGUCAACUAUAUGCACUUUAUACACCCUUUUCUUUCACUUUCACUUUCUCUCUUCCCCCAUUUUCUUUUCUUUUCUUUUCUUUUCUUUUCUUUUCUUCCUUUCUCCCUAUUUGCCAAAUCAAUAAUGCUUCAAAUUUAGAGAAUUUACUUGCCUAUCAAAGGAGAUUUUAUGGCAUAUUUUUAGAUUUAUUUGCUUUACACCUAUUAUAAUUAGGUUUUAGUGUUCAUUAAUGACAUUUUUCAAGAUUCAUUGAACAGGAUAACUUGAGUGGCAUAUUUAAUUCUCUCAAAUGUUCUUUUCCUACACCUCUUGUGGGUUUUAGAAUGUUAGCUUUUCGCCUAAACUUCUCCUUCUUGUUUGAUGCUUAUAGCAUCUUCUAGGUCAAUUUUAUCCUCUCCAAUAAAAUCACUUACAUCAAGUCUUAGGCUUAGGCUGACUAAAGCGUUUGUGUGGGUUUAAUAAUUCUAUAAUUCUAUAAUUUUAUUAAAUUUGAUUUAAUAUUGUUGGUUCUAAGGAUCUAAUAAACCUAUUCUUCAAAAUAUAGAGACUAAAAAGAAUCCCCAACAGGGACAUGGAAGAGAAAAUGAAGUAACUCCAAUCUCCACUGCAAAACCAAUUCCGAAAUGGGGAUUUCUUAAAUUGAGCAAAACGAAAAGCAAAGAUUCCUAUACAAUGGCAAGGAAGGAUGGAGGAAGCUAAUAGGAAAGUUGUGGACUUUGAAAGAAAUAAAUGGGUUAAAUUACCCCAAACUCCCUACUGUAUUCGAAGAUGGAGUCUAAACAAUAGGGUUAAACCGGGGAGUGACAAAAUAAAAAAUUAACGGGUGAAAAUUGCCAGUUGUUCCUUGUUUGAUAGCUUCUGAUUGGUCAGCUAUGGGCCCCAUAAGACGUGUCGCCUCGUCAGCCCUGUAAUUAAACUGAUUCUGCACACGUGUACUGUUGUCCUUAGAGACCCUCUCCCAUGGAUUCAUUCUUCAUAACGUUUCAUUAUUUAAAUUUACCAAUCUUCUCCUACACAAAUCAGUUUUCAUUUUUUAACCAUUAAUUUCUUUCUAUUUCUACACCUAUCAAAAUUUCGUUUUAAUUCAUUUAUUCUCUUUUCUUUCGUUUACGAAUAAUAUUAAAUAGAGAUAGACAUAUUACUAUAAAAAUUAUAAUAAUAAUAAAUUUCUUUCCACACGCACGGAAGAAAAUUAAGUUCAAUUCUUUUUCCUUUCUCCCAAACUACACAUCUUUAUAGGUGCAAUCUAAGUUGUACAGAGUACGAGCUAGUUGAACCAUAUAAUGUUAUAUCUAUUUUUCUUUUCAAAUCUUCAUGUAUAUUUAGAAUCUAUAUCUUUGCUUUUAACCAUAGAAUGAGGUGAUGAAUCAAAUUGAAGUUCAUUUUGCAAAUCAAUGAGUUCAACGGGUUUGAGAUUAGAUUUCACUAUCUACUUACAUAGAACAACAACAUAUUUAUAUGUUUUUAAUGGAUGAACAUUUAAGUUAUCUUUAAUACCUUGUUUGGAAGGCUAACUUUAGAUCUUUUCUUAAUCUCUUUUCAAAAACUAAAGAUUUUGUUGUGCUAAUUAUUUAAUUAGCUUUUUUUGUUUACUUUAGAUAUGUAAAUGUUUCGUUUUGUUUGAUUAUUAGAAGAGAUGUUAAUUUUUUAAACCUAUUGACAUCCAUCAUGCAAGGGUAUCCUUAAGAUAUUAAUUGCAAGGGUAUCUUCUUUUAUUUUAUUCAAUUGUCAUGAGAGUGAUUGAUUUUGUCAUUGGAAUGACAAACACAUCCAAACAUAAAGGUUUGCAAUUUUUAGAUUAUCUAAAUAAUUAAAUAAUUAAAAUUAAACAUUUUGAAAACUCUCAAAUUUCUUCACUUUCAUUGGAAUUCUUUUAACUCUAGUAUACAAAUGUCUUGUACAUUCAUCAAAUAUCACUCUUUAUAAACAAUUUGACAAACAUAAUCACUAAAAAAAAUAAGUAUCUUAAAGACAUUUGUAAAAUAUAUUGAAUGAUUAAGAAGGUGACAUAUGAUGGACAUUAAGCUUAAAUACAUGAACAUCUAUAUUAAUAAUGUUUAUAAUACUUUGGUCAUUUCAUUUUAUUAAUUCGUUGCCAUCACUGCUCAUUUAACUACUCAUUCUAGAUUUAUUUUAUUUUGAUAUCAUAUAAAAGGUUUUAUUUUUUUUUAGCAAAUAUCAUAAAUAAUUAUUUUGAAAAAUAAUGUAAAUGUUUAUAGUCUAUUUAAAAAAUUUACUAUAAAUAGUUUCAUUUUUGUUCAGUUAUUUAUACCAAUUAUCCUGAUUUUUUAAAAGUACUUAAAGCUUUUAAUAAAUUACUUUAUUUGGAAUAUGAUAUAUUUCAUUUAUUAAUGGUUGAGAUGGAUGCAUGGACAAAUGUUUGAAAAAUCACAUGCAAAAGGUUAUGUGUACUCGUUCAAGUAAAAUUUUCAAAAUCUUUGACUCUCUCACUACUUAAAAAGCUACCAAAUAAAUUUUGACCUAAGGAAUUUUCAAAAACAACUUUUUAAAAUAACUCUUUAUCAAAUAUAACAAAAUUGAUUCUGUUAGUUCAAUUCUUCUUAAUUGUAUUUUGUUAUAUUUUAUAAAUACAUUGAAUUUUUUAGUACUCGUGAUAAUUCUACUCUUUGUUAUUUGUUUACUAGUUUUGUUUUAAUUUGUAGUUUAUACGGAGAGGAAGUGAAGAAGUAAGAUAUUUGUAGUUUUUGAAAAGGAUAAUUGUAAUUGAUGACCAUUUGAGAAAUAAUAAUUAAGAAUAUAACAACAUUUAAAAAAAUUGCAAAUAUAGCAAAACUAUCGCGGAUAGAAUUGUAUUGCUGAUAAACUCGUAUGAUUUAUCGGUGAUAGACCAAUUUUUACAACAUGAUCUAUCAGUAAUAGAUUCUAUCAUCGAUAGAAUUUGACAAAUUUUGCUAUAUUUACAAUUUUUUAAAAGAUUACUAUAUACUUAAUUAUUUUGAAUUUAAUUGCUAAAUUUGCAACUAUUCCUUUUGAAAAAUUAACCAAGAUUGUUAUUUACCAAAAAAAAAUAAAUUAAUUUUAUAGCUAAAUUUAUAAAAACGGGUUUUUCCAAAAAUAAUAGAAAAACGUACUAGUACCUUUCAUUAAAAAAAACUAUUAAACUCUCUUUUCCUAUUUUUGCAAAUGCUUUUUUAUUUUCCUGUAAAUUGCUUUUCAUUUUUUCUACUCAAGAGAAUUAAAACAAUUGGGCUCUUACCUUUUUAUUAUUAUUAUUAUUAAGGCAAUAUAUAUAUAUAUAUAUAUAGUAUAGCUUUUUUGGAAAGUGUGCAUAGAAAGAUGCCAUUCAUUUAUUGCGCUAUUGUUGUCCUGAUCCAAAGUUAUUAGUAUUACUAAACUUUAUCAAAAGAAAAAAAGAAGUAUAGCACACAAAAUUGAAAUAUAAAAUUAUAUAAAUUAAAGAAAACACUUUAUCAGUUUAUCAACGAUAGUAGAGGUAAGAUUUUGAUUCAAUUACUUUUGUGCUGAUAAUCAGUAUUUAAUCGAUUAAAUUAAGUUUGAAUUAGUGAAAAAAUAAAUAUAUACUUAGAAGUUGUUUGAUUUUUAGAACUAAAAUAGCCAAAAUCUUCAAAUGCUAGUUUGUUUGCAAGAAAAUUGGUAGAAUGUUAAAUAAAUAUUUAGGUAGCCAUAUCUUUUUAAUAGGAAUGUAUUGAAAUAACAUUAUCAAAAUAAAAUAUAUUCUCAUAUUUGUAGUGAAAAUGUGUAGAAUUUGAUUAGAUUGAAAGAGAGAAAAUACUUCAAAAACAAAAACUUGUAAUUGGGUGUGUGUGGCGGCAAACUAUAAGGUAGGUGACUUUGGGUUGGAGGCGACGAUGAUGAGAGAUGGGAAGGAUUGGACAUUUGAGUGGUGGAGGCAUGAAGAAUCAAAUUUAGAUUAUGUAUCCAAUUAGGAAUGUGUUUUGAGUAAACAUUUAGUUUUUACCCUAAAGUUAAACGUGAAGGAAGAAGUAAAAUUUUUCAAAAUAAAAGAGAGAGAGAGAGAGAGAGAGAUAAGAUUAGAAAAAGAAAUAAAAUGCAUGGAUAUAUUUUGCAUGGGCAAUGUCGAAAAUAGCCCUGAGUAGAUAACUCGUAUCUUAAAUUAUGAACAAAUAAAGAAUACAAGGCAUGAAAUGAAUAGUUGGAAAGAGGAGAUAAGAAUUGCUUCCAAGGUUGCGUUGCCUCGGCUUUCACAUACUUAUACCAAAGAAUAAAACUACAUUACGAUAUUUAUUAAAUAACGUUGAAACUACCGAGUAUUAUUUGCAUAUUUUGGAUGCUUUCAUUCUUUACUUUUUCUUUUUU